UUUUGUUUGGGGGGCAUUGACUUUAUGUUAUGGUGGUGGAAUAUUUUGGAAAAGGGUAGUGAGAAUGGUUGCAUAACAUGAAGUAUGUAAUGAAAGCUAUUGAAUUGUAAAUGUAGAAGUAGUAUUGGCGAAUGUUUUCACGUGUAUAUUUUCAUCAUAAUAGAAAAAAAUGGAGACAAUUACUCUUGCCUUGCAGCUUGUUGUGAUAAUUAAAUUAUACGACCCAUAUGAAAGCUCCCAGCACAGUGCCCAGCACAGGUUAUUUUCCUUCCUACUGCAAGUGGGACUGUGAAUCUGGGCUUCUUGCCCAAAUGAAGUGUUUUUCUGUUUUAUUCUAUGACAAUGCCAGGUAUACCAAUGCAGGAAACUGUCUGCAUCUUCUGAAGGAAUUUAACGGGCAAAUGCGAAUGUAGGAAGAACUUGUUAUUUCUUCAUGGGCAGGGCCCAAACGUCACUCCCUUUUUUUAAUGUAUGCUUGGCUAUCUGCUAACUUUGUUAGUAAUGCAACUUCUUUGCUUUGUGGGCAAACCCGAGUGGAUGUAUUUACCUUCUUGGUCAUCUCUGGCGUAUGUUGCUCCUCCUAUUAUUUGUUUUUCAGCUCUUCCUAAAACAUUCCUUCCCCAUUUGCUAUCAUUCUAAAGCAAACUCAAGGGUAUUUCUAACUGACAUCCACAAUUUCAUAAGUGCCCAUCUAUUGUUCCUUAAUGAUAAGUUGACCAGAGUAGUUAAAGUUUAACAGGAGAAAUAAUGCUGAGAGGUUCAGCCUUAGGAAGUUCGUGUGCUGGAUAUUCUUUUAGCCAGGGUCAUCUAGGUAGGGACGGUGGGGUAGGGUUGUACCUAAAACCCCCAAACAAACCUGUUGCCAUGGAGUUGAUUCCAACUCUUAGCAACUCUAUAGAACAGACUAGAACCACCCAUAGGGUUUCCAAGGAGCUGCUGGUUAGUAACAUUAAUGCUUAAUCACUGUGCUUCCAGGCCUUCAUGGGGUAUACCCCACCCACCAACCCAGUGCCAUCAAGUCGAUUCCGACUCAUGUACCAGAGAGUCCAAACUCUACUUUUCCUGACUCAGACACGACCCUUCCUCUUUUUGCUACUUGAUAGCAUGGCGUAUUGUUGUAGCACAAAGCAUUUGGAGAAACAGGUGUGGGCUUGGAUCCUGCUGGGCCCCUUAUGGGCUGUGUGUAUCUGAGCCUAGACAUGGGGAUUCUUAUCUCCCAAGGCCAAUGAAGGUUACAGUUUAGGGCUUGGCACAUAGUCCUUGAGGGUAGCCAGCAUCAUUGUAUUACUGAGCGUGGUCAGAGAAGGAGAGAAGAAGGAAAGGCUAAUCAGACAACUUCCCUGUUAGCAUUGCUGGAGAAACGGGUUAAAGGAGAAGUUGGAUUUAACAGCCUGGGAUUAUUUGGUGAAUUUGGCAACUGUGUAAACUCUCUGUUUAAUGAGCUGGGAGCACAAAGUUAUAGUUUUGACUAACAACACUGUGGAUUUCCUUAUACACAGUUUCACUGGAGCCAGGAUGGCAGCUAUUAUCUUCAUUGGCCCCAGAUUUUAGCAGCAUCGAUGGCAGUGGUGGAGAGCUGACCAGGGUCUUUGAAAAACGUGGAGAAGCAAAAAGGAAAGGAAUAAUGGUAUUGUAGUCAAAUAAAGCCUACAUCAGAGUUAAUACGGCACAUUUAAUGAAAUGCACCAUCCUCUCUGGGCUGAGUGUGAAUUAGGUGGUCAGAUGAAUGGCUUUCUGUUGUCUUUCUGUGAGACUUUAGAGGUGGAGGUGUGGGAAAGGAGAAAGGAGCAGAGAGGUGCUCUGUGCAUCAUUCAACCUUUGAGUCUCUAAGUGCCCUGGGUAAUAACAUGAGGGGGCCUAGCUUUCUUCUGUUUCUUCCAGGAGCACCUAUGACCAGAUGAUGCUGGAGCUUGGACUCAAAAGUCCACCUACAUACAGGUAUGGAGAACAGGGACAGGGCAGAUAUUGAGUUUUAGAUUAUAUAAUUGAUGGCAACCAUUUGGAGCCAUGGUAGUACAGUGGUUAAGAGCUAUGGCUGCUAACCAAAAGGUUGGCAGUUCAAAUCCCCAGUUGCUCCUUGGAAACCCCAUGGGGCAGUUCUACUUUGUCCUCUAGGGUCGCUAUGAGUCAGAAUUGUCUCAACAGCCAAGGGUUUUUUUUGGUUUUGACAGCUGUUUGUUCUGGAAGAUGCCCACACUCAUUGAAGAAUGAGGAUCAGACAGGGCAGUUGGGACUAAAAGGUAAUGAAUGCCCAACUCAUUUAUUUUGUUGGGGAAGGAGUCUGUUAGGGAGAUAAAAGGUGGUACAUGUGGUGAACCCUUCCUACCGAGGGCCAAUUUUAAACAGCAAAGAAAGCUGAGUAUUGUGGAUUUAGUAGACACUUCACCAGUAUACCUAGAUCCCUUCCUUAUGGUGCUUGAAAUACUACUAAUUAAAAAUUCAUUUUAUCAAACAAAUAAUUAUCUACCCAUGAAAGAUAAGGGUUGCAGCAAAUCACUCGCUACCUUGUAUGAAUUAGUCAGCUUGUUUUCCCAGAACCUCACAGAAACACAGUAAGGGAAUAAAGGUUUUGUUAGGGCCAGCAGUGGAAGCAGGAUCAGGAGUGAAGGUGUGUGUUAGGUGAGAAUCCUCGGUCCAUAAAAUAAACAAGAGAUGCCUGCAGAUAAAUAGCCUGCAGAUACUGUGAGGAGACUUCCCUCGGCCUGGCUGGCUGGUCUCUGUACAACUGGGCUGCUGAUUACCGAGAGCCAAAGUGGGUUGGCUGGGGAUGUAAGAGAAUGGCAAGUCCUUCUCCCUGUGUGGGUUUUGACCUCUUCCCCAUCAUGCCUCACAGGCUGCAGGAAGGUCAGAUACACAAUUGUCUAAGAGUCAGAGUUUGAUAAUCUCCCUGGGCCCUGAGGCCGAACAAUGAAGACCACCAGCGAGAGGUUCCAGUUCAGCCUCCAGGCUGACCCCCAAGGCUUUACAAGCGGGAUCAGGCCAUAUGUCCUCGUUAAUCCAACAUCUGGGUCACAGGGUGGGGGAGAGCACAGAGUCUGGCUAAUGCCGCGGUUUAACUCCCCUCCCCUGAGUGUAACUCUGAGACCCAAUGGCAGGAGAAAUUUAGCUGUUGAGAGAUGGCAGCAGGAAAGGAAAAAGCAAAGUGGAGUCUGUAAAACAAACAUGUAAUUUGUGCAUAGAGUUCUUGGAACACAUGGGUUAGUUUAACAUCACUCCCAUUUCUCCUCCCCCACCCUGCAAAGAUUAGAAAGAGUGGGGGUGGGAUGAGAGAGGAGCAGAGCACUUUAUAAACUUCUGCCUGUGGUGUGGCGAUUCUGCAGCUUUCUCAUUAAUCUUUCUUGAACCCAAGUUACAUCCAUACUUAACUCCAAGUUGCAUUUAUUGUUUCAAAAGCGAAAUUUAAACCCAACUUAACGUAAUUAAACACCCUUUCCAAUGUUCACAACCUAGCCUUGGGCAGCUGGCACUUUCAGCGGGCUCUAAAAAAAGUCUGUCUUCUCAAGUUAAAAAGAUAAUCAGGACUUGAAAAGGACAAACUAAUUGAGUGAAGGUUUUCAUACCUAGUCGUGUUAAUUAUGUAAUCACUAUCCCAAUGCCCACCAAUGGAUUCUCAAGUUCCUUCUCCACCGGGCAGAAGUUCUGCAUUCCAAUAAAAACGCUUUCUUAUCUGCUUCAUUUAACAGCUAUAGGUGAACUGGCCAAAACACAGCUGAUGCCUUUUUCUAACACUGGCUUUGUGAACAUGUUCUGAAUCAUUCCUGCACAAGCAAAUAAGGGGCAUGUGGGAGGUGUGGGGUGGCCUGGCCCCUACCCUACCAGUGGGAUCUGAAUUUAUAUACGUAUUGCUUGCUGUGCUUUCCCUGAAAAUACAAGGAAACAAGUUUGUGCAACUUGUUUGGGGUAUACCUCCAUUUAUAACCCAGGAUUUCUACAUAAACACCCUUCCAUCAUGAGAAAGAUUCAUUUUCACCACACAGGAGACUUGCUUUACAGAACAGUCCGGCUAUUCAUGAAGGCUGAUCACUCCACCACGCCAGACCCCUGCCCCCAUCAACAAAGGAUGAACCUGGAGUGGCUCGAUUUUAACCACCUUUGAAGAGGCAGCUUGUUUUAGACUGGGUUCUCUAGAGAGGCAAAUCCAGCGAAGCGUCUUUCCCCAAGGAAAUUCCCUUUCAACUGAUUGGCUACUCACAACAGAUCCCAUCAUGGAGGUGAUCACAUUACAUCAGAUUUCAACAUGGAGGUGAUUACAUCAUAAUAGGACUGCCAAACUACAUCCUAACUGCCAAACCACUGAGAACGUGGCCCACCCAAGUUGACACACGGCCAUAACAAUCACACAGUUCCAUGUUCUGGUUUGGUGAGUAAUAGUUGUCCACCCAUGUACAUUAGAAUAAAUCACACUGUAGGUACUACGUAUGUUGUCGUGAAGUUCUCAAGUAUUACAGAAUAGUUUUCAACUGAGCACUUUUCCCGGGAGAGCCAUGUGGAAUGAUGCCUGAAGGCAAUAUACUGUGGCAGAAGCGAGAGCAGCAUUCUUGUGCCUAGUUCCCAACCCUGGCACAAGUUUGUGCAGAUAAUUUUGGGGGUUUUGUCUGCAAAUGACAAUGGGGGAAAAGUAUUCAAAGGCUGAAAGAGACACCAUCCCACCGAAUCUCAGAUAAUCAGAUGAACAGCAAAUAAAGACAUCUUUGCCCAAGCCCAAAUUUGACCAAUUAAAGAGGGAAAAAUAAUAAUGGUGUCACUUGACAAACAACAUCUCCGAGUAUACGUUGAAUGUCGGUUCUUAUGUGUCAGAAAUUCAGACUUAUAGCUUGGGGUCUUUAUUACAAAACUCUGAAACACAGAAAGGCUCAUAUGCUGGAGUGAAAGCAUUGGCUAAGAGUCAUUAAUGGAGGAUUCUCGGAGUGAAGCAAAUGUGCCAAACAUUCCAUGAAAUAGAAGAAGAUGACUUGGGACAAAGAUUUAAUUGGGUGGGAAACUCGACUGCCCACCAGACUAGGUUGGGUAUGGGUGGGGACUGCUUCUGUGUAAGGAAGAGCACCCCCAGGCAUAUUACCAUUAUUGGAAAGGCCACAACAAUAAAUUCUAGUCACAUUUAAUUAAUUAUUGAUUUGUUUGUUUUUCUGAGGGCUUACUUCAUGCAUAAAGUACCAUGAGAUACCAAGAUAAAAAAGUAACCCUUAAUUGUUAGGGUUCAUAGGUAAGGGCAGGAAAAUUAAUAAUAACGUAAUUAUAAUAAUACCUAAAGAUUAUUAGAAUAGAAUGCUCUGAGUCAGAAGUGACUCGAUGGAACCUAACAACAACAAAGAUUAUUGAACAUUAAUGUGCAAAGUCAAUUUGGUUCCUGUGUAUUAACAUGUUAGCAUGCUUGAGGAAGGAUGUUGGGCCCAACUGGGUUAACAUAAACUGUUCAGUGGCAUCACAUGCUCAGGGUCGGUGCAAUACCCUAGAUAUGCCACUGCCAGUGAUUGCAUGUUUGAUCAAUUUCAGACUGCAGAAGUUGGUAAAAACUUCCAUUUUUUCAUCUUUGGCAUUAGUGGUUGCUGUGUAAAUUUGAAUAAUCGUUGUAUUACCUGGUCUUCCUCAAGCAUGGUAAUGUGUUAAUACAUAGGAACCAAAUUGACUUUGCACAUUAAUGUUCAAUAAUCUUUGUUGUUGUUAGGUGCCAUCGAGUCACUUCUGACUCAGAUCAAUUCUAUUAUAAUAAUCUUUAGGUAUUAUUAUAAUUAUGUAGGUAUUAUCCUAUCACUAAGAGCGAUGUACUUCAGGAUAGAUCUUGAAAUGUUCUUUUUGAGGAUGAAUGCACUGCCAUUUCUCUUCACUCUGUCAUUCCUGGCAUAGUAGAUCAUAUGACCGUUCAAUUCAAAACGGCCAACACCAGUCCGUUUCAGCUCACUAAUGCCUGGGAUAUUAAUCUUCACGCAUUCCAUUUCGUUUUUGACGACUUUCAAUUUUCCGUGCUUCAUGCUCUGUAUAUUCCACCUUCUGAUUACUAGUGGAUGUUUGCAGCUGUUUCUUCUCGUUUUGCGUCAUGCUAUAUUGGCAAAUGAAGGUCUCGAAAGCUUUACUCCACCCAUGUCAUCAAGGUUGCAUCAACUUUGAGGAGACAGCUCUUCUCAGUUACAUUUUGAGUGCCUUCCAACCUGAGGAGUUCAUCUUUUGGCACUGUAUCAGGCAGUAUUCACUGCUAUCCAUAAGGAUUUCGCUGGCUAGUUUUCUCAGUGGUAGAUCUCCAGAUCCUUCUUCAUCAUUGCGUUGGGCAAAUCAGCUGCAAAAGACCUCUUUAAAGGGUUGAAAAGCAAAGAUGUUACCUUGAGGACUAAAGUGAGCCUGAUCCAAGAGAUGGUAUUUUCAAUCCCCUCAUAUGCUUGUGAAAGCUGGACAACGAAUAAGGAAGACCAGAGAAUUGAUGCCUUUGAAUUAUGGUGUUGGCAAAGAAAGUUGCGUAUACCACAGACUGCCAGGAGAAUGAACAAGCCUGUCUUGGAAGAAGUACAGCCAGAAUGCUCCUUAGAAGUGAGGAUGCUGAGACUUUGUCUGGCUUACUUUGGACAUGUUAUCAAGAGGGACUAGUCCUUGGAGAAGGACAUUAUGCUUGGUAAAGUACAAGGUCAGUGUAAAAGAGGAAGACCCUGCACAAGAUGGACUGACCCAGAGGCUGCAACAAUAGGCUCAAAUGUAGCAAUGAUUGUGAAGAUGGCACAAUACUGGGCAGUGUGCUCUUCUGUUGUGCACGGGGUUGCUGUGAGUUGGAACCAACUUGACAACACCUAACAACAACGACAAUGUGAGUACUAUUUGAAUCACUUUAUAUAUUUUAAUUCAAUUGAUUCUCACAGCAAGCCUUCGAGGCACUAUUACUAUUCCCUUUUCAGAGAUGGAAAAACUGAGGCUGAGAGAGGAACUGUAACUUUCCUACAGAAUCAGCAAGCAGCAGAGCUUGUAUAUGUAGCUGUAUUCCCAGAAAGCACUAGGUAAGAUGGGGCAGGGGCUGGCAGAGAAGUAUAUAUAGAAAGCAAUGGCAGUUGAAGAAGGGGAGAUCACAUCUGGCUAAGCACAAGGGCAGGUUUCAAAUAGGAGGGGGCAUUUCAAUGGGGUUUGAAGGUUAAGAGGGAUUUAAUCAGAAGUAGACUGAGGCAGUGCUUAUGAAGAAUACUUACGCUGGACAGUUUCCUAGGUGGGUGCCCUGGCUGGGCAUUGUCCUUCCCAACCCCCAUUACUCAGGACCCUGUCUCAACUCUCAGGAGCGGGGCUAGGUAGGCUUGUUUGUGCUGUAUGCUCUCACAUUACCAAACCAGGGAUCAUCUGAUCCAAAAAAGUGAGUUUCUGUUACUAGAAAACCAACCAACCAAACAAACAAACCAAAUUAAUGAAGACAAUAUCUACAUGGAAAGAAAGGAAAGCAGAAAGUUUCAGAGAUGUUCACAUUGAGGGUAUGCUUGAGGAAAAGGGAACAUAAAGUUCCCCAUGGGAGAAUGGUGGGCUAUCAAGAUGAAAGGGAAGAGAGAACAACUGAUGAUGGGGGCCUGUGGGCCAGACCUACUGUGUAUUCAGCAUUUUCAUUAACUUCUCAUUUUUAUCCUCAGAACAACCCUACAAGGAAGAUAUUAUCAUCACCAUUUUCCUGAUGAGCAAAUUAUGUACAGAAAGUUGAGGCGCCCAGCACUCCUGCUGUAAUUCAAGCAGAAACACAAGUAUGAAUAAUCAAACUGGAUGACGCUCAUCAAGAACCUUUGUGCCUUGCACCAUUUCAAAUGGUCAUUGAAGCUUAAUGGCAAAAAAUUUACAUUCUUCCUUUAAUUUGUAUUCUAUUCCUUCCUUCUGAGUGACGUGAUUGCGGCUUGCUGUUGCUGCCUGUAUUAUUUUGAUGCAAAUGCUAUGUUGUGUGUGCCUGAGUCCAAUUUCCUGGCUUUUGCCAGCAAGAGAAGUGACUGCAAACAUCAUUCAAAAUCAGGAUUAUUUAAAGAGUUUGUAAUUACUGUUCCUAAUGAGUGAAACAAUGUACUUGAUGAGCCCACCGUCUGGAGACACCUCGUGGCCCGAGGUUAACUGCCCAUGAAGGAAAAUGGAACCCACAGGACAAUCACUGUUUUCAUGUCUGCCUUUCCCCAGCUGGAAUAUUAGACUUCAUUGUCAUCCACGAAAGAAUUAAGAGAUUUGCAAUUCAAGUAAAACUCCCCUUCCUGAGACAUACUCACCUGGGGAGGGAUGCUUUAUUGAGAUACCCGGGGUUGCGCCAAAGACUGCAAACACCGGGCCCAGGGGCAUCCUUGGAAGUAAUGCAGCAGAGCAAAUGAGCCAGGGCGGAGACGGAGCGCUGGGAGUCAGGCGCGGCCAGGUCGGCUGAGCAGGGCAGGCCUCCCUCAUCAGAAGCCUUACCGGCUUUGACCAGUGCCCACCGGCUGCAUCGGGAGCAUCUGGAGAAAUUUUUGAUGGAACGCCCUGUCAUUAGGUGGACUGGCUUAAUUAGGAGGAGUUUGUGGGCACAGGGAAGCCAGCAGGACUGUGUUGGGAUUUGAAGCUUGCAAGCCUCAUCCCAGGAGACCACGACACAAAGCUCUGCCUGCUGAGCACACGCAUGUGGGGUGUCUGCACAUCCGAAGGGGGCUGCGGGCUCUGCGGGUCCGGGGGGGGGCCCAGAUGCCUGCCACCCCUCCCCCGCAGCAGCCCUUGGGCUUGCCAAAACGACAGCAGUCAGGAGCAUCUGGCUUUCUUCACUGUCAUAACAAGGCAGACGCGGAAAACUCAAACGUGCUGCCCUGCGGAAGCUCACUCUUCUGGCAUGUUUUGAGAUUGUGAGGAGGGACACGAUGGUGGCCUGGUGGGGCUUCCUUGCGGACCAUGGCAUUUCUCUCCCUCUAAGCCCCCUGCCCCAGCACAGAAGUCAACAUCCCAAGAAGCACUUAACUCUUCAGGAACUAAGGGCUUCAUUGUCCAACCCCGCCAGUUGGGGCCUUCAAGCACAUUUAGAAGCGUGGUGGUCUGAUCCUACAAUCAGACUGGAGGAGUGGUGGUGGGCUGGGGACAGCAGUGAGGGGGCUGUAGGCACAGCACACAGUUUGGGAGAAAUGCGCCCACUAUUUUGAAGCACUUAUUUACUGAACAGUUGCAAAGCUCAGGGUUCUAAAUAUUGUGGCUUCAGCAUGAGCUGCAGGUUAAGGGAAGAACCAGAUCUAACCUUUCAAAAAUCAGUAUCCACAGUGGCCGGAAGGAGAGAGGGAGCAGGGGUGGGUUAUCCGAUAAGCAAGGUAAGCACAGGCUUCCUUGUGCUUACUUACUAAUCUGUAGUGAAUAAUUUUCACGUGAGUUUCACUGCGUGGUGAAACCCAUGUGAAGUUGUUCGCUACAGAUUGGUAAAUAAGUACAAGGAUGCCCGUGCUUACCUUGCUUACUGAGUCCUCACUCCUGGAAGAAGUCACAAUGCAUCAAAAGCUCAUGUGUUUACUUAGCCUGCACACACUGGGGGCGGGGGGGGUGGCAGCCCCCCCCCCAUAGCCAGGGAGAAACUAAAUGCGUGCGAGUGGAAAUGCAAAUUCCAUUGUCCCUAUGUUGAUUGUUUUCUCAGCUCAGUGAUUUUUGCUUUCGGGCACGUCAGAGCUGUUUUUACAUACUAUUAGAAAACUCAAAAAUAUUCCAAUAAUGUAUCCUCAUUUACCAAGUUAAAAUGAAUCCCUGGCUUUGGAGAGAUGAGGUGACUGUCCAUCAGGCCAUUUAAGAUACAAAAAAUGAUCUGUCCCCUAAACACAUCAUUAGAUAUAAACAUUUGAUGAAACACACUUCAAGCCACUUAUGAUAUCAGUUUUAAACUAAGCCGACCAGGUAACCUGCAUCAAAACAGACCACGCCGAGGACAAGGCUGUUGAAUUUUUAAUGUACCAUUGAAAAACAUCAGUAGGCUUUAUUUUGAAAUUCGAAAACUGGAUUUCAAAUGCAUUUGAAUAGAAUUCUUCACAAAAUGAUGAAACUUACCUCAAAGCUACUCAGGGGCAGAUUAUCCAAUAAGCAAGGUAGAAAAGUGCAAAGCGCUUACUUAAAUCUGUGGUGAACAAUUUCACGCCUUUGAUGUGGUGAAACUCAUGUGAAGUUGUUCACUAUAGAUAAGUAAGCACAAGGAAGCCUGUGUUUACCUUGCUUACUGAGUCAUCCACCCCGUCCAAAAAAAAAAAAAAACCUGUUGCCAUCGAGUCGAUUUCGACUCAUAACAACCCUAUAGGACAGAGUAGAACUGCCCCAUACAGUUUCCAAGGAGCGCCUGGUGGAUUUGAACUGCCGACCUUUUUUCAGGUUAGCAGCCAUAGCUCUUAACCAGUAUGCUACCAGGGUUGAAAAGAGGCUUUGAUUCUGUAGGCAGGUGCUGUGGGGUUGGGAGAGAGGCAGAUGCCAGCCAUACCUAGAAGUGGAAUCUUUGAUGUGGUGAAAAAAUGUGAAAUUCAUUACAGAUUAGUAAGUAAGCACAAGUGAGCCCAUGCUUACCUUGCUUUUUGGAUAAUCCACCCCUGGCCUACUACUAAAAAAAAAGUCUGGCUUCUAAGUUAAAGAAUUAAUGUUUCAGAAGGACAGCACCUUGAAUAUAGGAAAGGAGUGAGUGUAGAGAGGUCCAUGUAGUGGUGGAAGUAUUGACGACACUUCAGAUUCCAGCUAGUAAACAAUCCUGAGGGCACGGCUUCCCAGUCACCUGGGAAAGCAGAGGAGCAAGCGGCCUCCCCGUGUUGGGCAGCAUUAGCUCAUCCCACAGUGCUGAGAAUUCCCAUCAACAGGACCGUGUAAAGGAGUGCUAACUGGGGGUGCAGGUUCCUCUGAGAACAGCUCUCCCUGAAAAAAAGUCCUUCUUUCACCCGCUCAAGUGAGGUUGAUGUGCUUGCUCAUGUGAUGUGGAAGAAAGAAGUAACGAGGAAUGUAAUUAUUUUGACACCUUCUUUUAAAAAAGGUUAUUAUUCCUUCUUAAUGCAAAGUGGUUUACGCUGCUGCUCUCAAAGGGAGUCCACUGUCCUUGGUCUCCAUACCGUGAGUGCCUGCAGAUUCAAUACCACACAAUCGGCAGGCGUGAAGAGCUGGAUGACAAACGGCAGGGAGGCAUAAUUUCUGCCUGGUGAGAAAUGCAGACCUCCCCUCUUCAUUCUUUGCAGCAGUCUCUGUACCCUACAUUUUAUUCCCUUUUACAAGGAGAAGCUCAUUUUUACCCUGCAAGAAGGAGGAAACAAUCUGGGGGGCCUGUCCCUCAUUUAUCCAUCCUUUCCUCCCUGGAUGAUUUUGAUUUAUUCUGAAACCCCAUAGCAGAAGACCUCAAUUAUGUAAUUCUUCUGAAACAGGUUCCAGACACUGGAGAGCAUGGUGAAUGCAGCCAGGAAUAGCCAUCUAGAGACGGCCUUGGACACUUUUGCUCAUAAAAACUUGACAUCUGAAGUCCCACUCUUUAUUAAUCUCUUAUCAAAGAGUUAGUCAAGAUUGCUGAAAAAAGUCAACGUCAUCAAUGUCAUACAAAUCAUUAUUAAUAAUUCAAUAAUGAGUAGGAUUAAAAAUGGAAGAAUGAAACACUUUAAGAAUGGUAGGUAGCAGGGCAAUCAGUUUACAGGCAGUCCCUCCCACACCGGCUCCUACCUCCCCAUCUGCAGCCUGCUUUUCUCUGCAGCUCCAGAUGGGGUAGAAUUUGCAACAUUGCACCUCACAGAUUGUCUGUAUUUCUUUCUGUCUCUAUCCAGGCCUCUUGUUCAUGCUCACAUUUCUUAUUGCUCUCUUCGUUUGCAGUUCUCCAGAAGCCGACCCUUCGUCAAGGAUUUGAGUGCAAUGAAUUCACUCCAGAAAGCGCAGGAACUGGAAUAGUGCUUAGCACAUAGAAGAUGCUCAGCAAACAUUUGCCCAAUCAGUGAAUGAAUCAAUUGUGCAAACUGAAGUAAUGGAAGAACAGUAACUGGGAGUUAACAGAGGAGACCAGUUGGAGAAGGAAGAGUCAGAAGCAAAACUCAUUUAUGGUAAGGUAAGGGAGAUAAAAAUACCUAUGAUAUUUUAACCUAUCACGUGAAUGACCUUGGAUUACAACCUUAUGUAAGGUACAGGUGAAGCAUGGACACAUUAAGUAAUGCCCAGGAGAACACAGCUGGUAUGUAGUGGAGCCGGGAUUGGAACCAGGCUGGCUCUCAAAAGUCUGCUCUAGUACUAUGUUUCACUGCUGCUAAGAGCUCCCACCUCUGGCUGGUGCAGACAGUUAAUGUGCUCAAAUGCUAACUAAAAGUUUAAAGGCUUGAGACCACCCAGAGAAACCUCGGGAGAAAGGUGUGGUGAUCUACUUCCAAAAUAUUAGCCAUUGAAAACCCUAUGGAGCACAGUUCUACCCUGACACACAAGGUGAUCAGCAAAUGGACUGGUUUUAAGAGCCCCAGGCCUCCUGGCAUCAAGAACAGCUCUACGGUCAACCACCACAUGGCCCUACCCCGUUCAUGUCUGGUCUUAGAUUUUUAUUUGGCCGCAUCCUUCUGCUGCUCCAUGCUUACUAUUAUAACAUCUUCUUCUCUUUGUCCUCUUAACUUGAGAGAGCUUCAGUGGCUCCCAUUAUUUGCAAUCAAAGAGCAAAAUUAAAAACAAAAUCAGAGGCAGCAUAGAACAUGACAUCCCUGCAACUCACUUUCAGAUGUCUUGCCUGUGACAUGGCCUUGGCCUCUCAGGCAGUAUCCCCAAAUGGUGUGGUUCUGUUGUUGGGGCAAUUGCUGAAUAAAUUCUGAGAUAGUCACCAGGAACUGAGUUACCAGCUUUACUUUAGGCGUGGCUGAAUAACAAACUACUCCGAAUCUUAGUGACUCACCUCAUAAAAGUUAAAAAUUUUGUUCAUAAAAGAAUCUACCAAAAAAAAAAAAAAAAACCGUCUGGGAGAAUAUCUUUGGAAACCAUAUAACCGAUGAGAAUCUAACAACAUAAAAAGGACUUAACAACAAAAAGACAACUAACCCAAUCACAAAAUAGGCAAAGGACUUGAACAGACAUUUCACCAAGGAAAACAUUGAAAUGGCCACGAAACACAUGAAAAGAUGCUCAAUGUCAUUAGUCAUCAGAAAGAUGCAAAUCAAAAUCAUAAUGAGAUAUCAUUUCUUACUCACAUACCUAUGCAAUCUGUAUGCUGAGCAAAUAAUAGAAGAAGCUGGACUAUAUGAAGAAGAACAGGGCAUCAGGAUUGGAGGAAGACUCGUUAACAACCUGUGUUAUGCAGAUGACACAACCUUGCUUGCUGAUAAGCGAAGAGGACUUGAAGCACUUACUAAUGAAGAUCAAAGACCACAGCCUUCAGUAGGGAUUGCACCUCAACAUAAAGAAAACAAAAAUCCUCACAACUGGACCCAUGAGCAACAUCAUGAUAAAUGGAGAAAAGAUUGAAGUUGUCAAGGAUUUCAUUUUCCUUGGAUCCACAAUCAACAGCCAUGGAAGCAGCAGUCAAGAAAUCAAAAGACGCAUUGCAUUGGGUAAAUCUGCUGCAAAGGACCUCUUUAAAGUGUUGAAGAGCAAAGAUGUCACCUUGAAGACUAAGGUGCGCCUGACCCGAGCCAUGGUAUUUUCAAUUGCAUCAUAUGCAUGUGAAAGCUGGACAAUGAAUAAGGAAGACCGAAGAAGAAUUGACGCCUUUGAAUUGUGGUGUUGGCAAAGAAUAUUGAAUAUACCAUGGACUGCCAAAAGAACGAACAAAUCUGUCUUGGAAGAAGUACAACCAGAAUGCUCCUUAGAAGCACGGAUGGCGAGACUGAGUCUUACACACUUUGGACAUGUUGUCAGGAGGGAUCAGUCCUUGGAGAAGGACAUCAUGCUUGGCAGAGUACAGGGUCAGCGGAAAAGAGAAAGACCCUCAACGAGGUGGAUUGACAUAGUGGCUGCAACAAUGAGCUCAAGCAUAACAAUGAUUGUAAGGAUGGUUCAGGACCGGGCAGUGUUUCGUUCUGUUGUGCAUGGGGUCACUAUGAGUCGGAACCGGCUCAAUGGCACCUAAGAACAACAACAACAGGAUGGAUAGAGUAAAAAAAAAAAAAAAUGAAAAUGUUGGCAAGAUGUAGGGAAAUUGAAACCCUUAUCCAUUGCAGGUGAGAAUGCAAAAUAGGACAGCUGUUGUGGAAAACAGUGUGACAGUUCCACAAAAAACUAAAAAUAGAACUACCAUAAAAAAAUUUUUUUUUUUUUCCAUAUGACCUAGAAAUUCCACUCCUAGGUUUAUACCCAAAAGAAUUGAAAACAGGGAUUCAACCAGAUACUUGUACACCAGUGUUCAUUGCAGCACUAGUCACAAUUGCCAAAACCUGGAAGCAACAUAAAUGUCCAUUAGCAGAUGAAUGGAUACACAAAAUGUGGUACAUAUGUAAAAUGGAAUGCUACUCAGCCAGUAGGGGAAACAAAAUCUUGAUACAUGCUACAGUGUGGAUGAAACUUAAAGACAUUAUGCUGAGUGAGAGAAGUCAAUCACAAAAGGACAAAUAUUAUAUGAACUCACUUAUAUAAAAAGACAAGAAAAGGAAAAAAAUACUUUUGUUCAUCAAAGGAUUUUAUCAAAAAAUUGAAAAGAUAACCCACAGAUUGAGGGAACAAUUUUGGAAACCAUAUAUCCAAUGUUGUUGUUAGGUGCUGUUGAGUCGGUUCCGACUCAUAGUGACCCUAUGUGCUACAAUGAAACACUGCCUGGUCCUACGUCUGCCUCACAAUCUUUGCUAUGUUGAAGCCCAUUGUUGCAGCCACUGUGUCAAUCCAUCUUGUUGAAGGUCUUCCUCUUUUUCACUGACCCUCUGCCAAGGAUGAUGUCCUUCUCUGGGGACUGGUGCCUCCUGAUAACGUGAGACAAGUCUCACCAUCCUCACUUCUAAAGAGUAUCUUUCAAGACAGAUUUGUUUGUUAUUCUGUCAGUUCAUACAUGGUAUAUUCAACACUCUUCACCAACACCAUAAUUCAAAGGCAUCAGUUCUUCUUUGGUGUUCCUUAUUUGUUGUUCAGCAUUCACAUGCACAUGAGGCAAUUGAAAACACCAUGGCUUGGGUCAGGUGCUCCUUAGUCCUCUAAGUGAGAUCUUUGCUUUUGGACACUUUAAAGAGGUCAUUUGCAGAAGAUCUGCCCAGUGCAAUAGGUCCUUUCAUUUCUUGAUUGCUGCUUCCAUGCAUGUUGAUUGUGGAUCCAAGGAAAAUGAAAUCCUCAACAACUUCAAUCUUUUCUCCAUUUAUCAUGAUGUUGCUCAUGGGUCCAGUUGUGAGGAUUUUUGUUUUCUUUAUGUUGAGGUGCAAUCCCUACUGAAGGCUGUGGUCUUUGAUCUUCAUUAGUAAGUGCUUCAAGUCCUCUUCGCUUAUCAGCAAGCAAGGUUGUGUCAUCUGCAUAACACAGGUUGUUAAUGAGAAGCCUGAAGCCUCAUUAUUUUUCAUAUAGUCCAUCUCUUGGAUUAUUUGCUCAGUAUUCAGAUUGAAUAAGUAUGGUGAGAGGAUAUGACCCUGAUGCACAUCUUCCCUGAUUUUAAACCACAGAGUAUCCCUUUGUUCUAUUUGAGUGGCUGCCUAUUGGUCUCUCUACAGAUUCUGCAUGAGCACAAUUAAAUGUUCUGGAAUUUCCAUUCUUCUCAACAUUAUCCAUAAUUUAUAAUAACCCACACAGUUUGAUGCCUUUGCAUAGUCAAUAAAACACAGGUAAAUAUCUUUCUGGUAUUCUUUGCUUUCAUCCAAGAUUCAUCUGACAUCAGCAAUGAUAUUUCUCAUUCAAUGUCCUCUUCUUGAAUCCAGCUUGAGUUUCUGUCAGUUCCUUCUCGAUAUCUGCUGCAGCUGCUUUUGAACAAUCUUCAGCAAAAUUUUACUUGCGUGUGAUAUUAAUGAUAUUGUUCCAUAAUUUCCGCAUUCAGUUGGAUAACCUUUCUUUGGAAUGGGCACAAAUAUGGAUCUCUUCCAGUCUAUUGGCCAGGUAGCUGUCUUCCAAAUUUAAUUUCUUGGCAUAGACGAGUGAGGACCUCUAGUGUUGCAUCCAUUUGUUGAAAUGUCUUAAUUGGUAUGCCAUCAAUUCCUGGGGCCUUGUUAUUUUGCCACUGCCUUCAGGGCAACUUGGACUUCUUCCUUCAGCACCAUCAAUUCUUGAUCAUGUGCUACCUACCGAAAUGGUUAAAUGUUGACCAAUCCUUUUUUGUACAGUGGCUCUGUGUAUUCCUUCCAUCUCCUUUUGAUGCUUUAUUUUGCCCAUAAAAUCCUUCAAUAUUGCAACUUGAGGGUUGAAUUUUUUCUUCAGUUCUUUCAGCUUGAGAAAUGCUGAGCAUGUUCUUCCCUUUUGGUUUUCUAACUCCGGGUCUUUACACAUUUCAUUAUAAUACCUUACUUUGUCUUCUCAAGCCACCCUUGGAAAUCUUCUGUUCAGCUCUUUUACAUGAUCAUUUCUUCUGUUCAAUUUAGCUACUCUACGUUCAAGAGCAAGUUUCAGAGUCUCUUCUGACAUCCAUUUUGGUCUUUUCUUUCUUUCCCGUCUCUUUAAUGACCUUUUGCUUUCUUCAUGUAUAAUGUCCUUGAUGUCAUCCUACAACUCUUCUGGUCUUCAGUCAUUAGUGUUUGAUGUAUCAAAUCUAUUUUUAAGACGGUUUCUAAAUUCAGGUGGGAUGUACUCAAGAUUGGGUUUUGGCUCUCAUGGACUUGUUUUAAUUUUCUUCAGCUUCAACUUGAAUUUGCAUAUGGCCAAUUGAUGGUCUGUUCUGAAAUUGGGCCCUGGCCUUGUUCUGACGGAUGAUAUGGAGGUUCUCCAUUGUCUCUUCACAGACGUACUCAAUUUGAUUUCUGUGUAUUCCACCCAGAGAGGUCCCAUGUAUACUCUCCAUUUAUGUUGUUAAAAAAAAAAAGGCAUUUGCAAUGAAUAAGUCGUUGACCUUGCAAAAUUCUAUCGUGAGAUUUCUGGCCUCAUUUCUAUCACCACAUUUCCCAUCUACCAAUCCUUCUUUGUUUCCAACUUUCUCAUUCCAAUCACCAGUAGUUAUCAAUGCAUACUGAUUGCAUGUUUGAUCAAUUUCAGACUGCAGAAGUUGGUAAAAAUCUUAAUUUUCUUCAUCUUUGGCGUUAGUGUUUGAUGCAUAAAUUUGAAUAAUAGUCAUAUUAACUGGUCUUCGUUGUAGGCAUAUGAAUAUUAUCUUAUCACUGACAGUGUUGUACUUCAGGAUAGAUCUUGAAAUUUUUUUUGGAGGUUGAAUACAAUGCCAUUCCUGUUCGAUUUGUCAUUCCCGGCAUGGUAGACCACAUGAUUGUCCAAUUCAAAAUGGCCAAUACUAGUCUAUUAUUUCAGCUCACUGAUGCCUAGGAUAUCAAUCUUUAUGCAUUCCAUUUCACUUUUGAUGACUUCCAAUUUUCCUAGAUUCAUACUUUGUACAUUCCAUGUUCCAAUUAUUAAUGGAUGUUUGUAGCUGUUUCUUCUCGUUUUGAGUUGUUCCACGUCAGCAAAUGAAAGUCUCAAAAGCUUGCCUCCAUCCACAUCAGUAAGGUCGACUUUGAGAAGGCAAGUUUUCCCCAGUCGCAUUUUGAGUGCCUUCCAGCCUGAGGGGCUCAUCUUCUGGCACAAUAUCAGACAGUGUUCCGCUGCUGUUCAUAAGGUUUUCACUGAACAAUUUUUUUUUUUUUUAGAAGUAAAUCACCAGGUCCUUCUUCUAGCUUGUCUUAGCCCGGAAACUCUGUUGAACUUGUGUGACCCUGCUGGCAUUUGAAAUAUCUGUGGCAUGGCUUUCAACAUCACAGUAACACACAAGGCACCACAGUAUGACAAAGUGAUAAGGGUCUAAUAUCCAAAAUACAUAAAAAAUUUUCUACAACUUGAAAACAAAAAGACAAUCAUUUCACUAAUGUGAUACAUGUUAGCCUGAACCCACCUGGCUGGGGGGGGGCACUACUUCCUAUUUUGCACAAAGUUGUGUGUGUGUGUAUGCUAGGAAUAGCCAUGAACAACUCUGAGUCAGGCCAUGAAGAUGGAAUAGGUUUCAGAUAUCAAAAUAUUUUUGAAUUACAAAGGAACAAUCUUCAUUCUUCUUAUCCCUUCAUUCAUACCAAAUAACUUAUGGAAAGAACAUGUAUGAAAUGCACCAUAUUUUAAUAUUUUACAUUUUACUAAAACUGUUGUUGUUGGGUGCCAUUGAGUCAGUUUUGACUCAUAGGGACCCUAAGACUAAAAAAGAAAAAAAAAAGAGUAGUAUAGUGAAAAUCUGAUUACUUUCAUCAGAGAUACAAAAUCUGUUGACUGAGAAUAAAUUCAUGUUAAAAAAAGGUAUUAGUCUCCAGGAAAGUAAAGAUGGUCUGGAGCCAUUUUGUUUUCAGAUACAUUUUAUCGCCUAGGACAGACAAGAAAGGAUUUAUAUUGGGGUGAAUCAGAAAGAAGAUCCCAUAUUAAUGGCUUCCACAGUAAUAUGCUUCAACUCUUUGCUAUGAACUAGCCCCUUCAAUGGGUCCUCAUAUUACAAUUUUAAGGGUAUGCACAUUUUACCAUGAUUUGAGUAUUCAUCCAGGAACAUAAUUGUGGCUCCUCUGUUAGAACGCCAGCAGCCAGAAUUAGCCCUGUACUGGCUAUUUAUAGACAUAUUUAUAAGGCAAAGGGAAAAAUUAGGCAAUUAGUUUCCUCAGACAAAGUAGAUAGGUACAAGUUAGAACAAAGUGGUUUAUGCAUUUUCAUUAGACCAAGGGACUCGCUUAUUGAAAAAAAUAAGUUAUAAGACAGCUUUUUUGUUUGUUUGGUUUUUCACAAUGAUGAUGUUAAUUAGGGAAGUAACAGGUUACAAUUCAGGAUCAGGAACAACUCAGGAUACAGUUCUUUGACCAGGACAGCUUCUUCUCAGCUGGGCCCUCAGGCGGGCAGGCUUCUCUCUGGCCUUCGGUUUCUCUGCCUCGCCUCUGCCCUGCUUGAGCAAGUGUUACCAAGUGUUUUACCUCCACCAGUAAGUGCCCAGAGGCACCGUACUCUGCUAGUAAGCCUCCUGCCCAAAGUCGCUUGGCUCCCUCGCUCCAUGGGUUGGCAUGCUCACAGUAGCUGCCUUGCUCCAUAGGCUGGGAAGCCCACUACGCUAUCUGGUGUUGGUCUGCUGGUUUUGCAGCCACCGUUUCUCUGCUGCAACUUCUUGCCUUCUUGUUUCCUCUCCAGCACAGCUCUCUGUCUCCUGGGUCUAGGAGUUUCUCAGCACAGGGACUCUGGGUCCAAAUGAUGCACUCUACUCCUGGCUCUUCUUUGUUAGUGGUAGAGAGGUCCACCCAUAAUGCAGCUUUUGAAGACAUCUUUGUAUCGCUAUCCUAUACUGCUUUAGAACUAGAAUAAAAUAAAUUUCCUUUAAAAAGAAUGACAUCAUUUAUUUUGCUCAUGAAUCUACAGUCUAGGCAGGGCUUGGCAGGGGCAGCUCAUCUCUGCUCCACUUGGUAUUAGAUGGGGCAGCUAGAAGGCCGAAGGCAGGAAUCAUCCAAAGGCUCCUCACUCACAUGUUUGGUGGUUGAUGCUGACUGUCGGCUGGGACCUCAGCUGGGGCUGUCAGCUGGAACACCUGCACAUCACCUCUCCAUGUGCCUGGACCUUCUUACAAGUCUGAGAGUGACUGUCCUUAGUGAGAGUGAGCCAGGUGGGAGCUAUGCCACUUUUUAUGUCCCAGGCUCAGAAGUCACUUAGAGUCAUUUCUAGUCCAUUUUAUUUAUUAGAAAUGAUUCCCAACGGCCAGCCCAUAUUAAAUAAAAAGGGAAUGACACUCCCACCUUUGGAUGGGAUGAAAGUCAAAAAAAUUUGCCGACCUGCUUUAAAAUCACUGCAUUACAUAAGCCAAGCAGCAUCUUUGCUUGAGCAAGAGCCUUAGUAGAUCAAGAUUCACACCAUCUCCUACUUUAUGCACAGUGUGAAAUGACACACUGUAAACGUGCACAUAGGGAAAGUCAUUAUGUGUGGUUAGCAGAAUCCGUUAAAAUGCAUAUUGCCAGAUAUUUAAAGUGAACAGAAACUACAUAAAAUAUAAAACUUUAGCACCUUUAAUUCAUUGAAUAGUAGUUACUCCAACCUGCCCUGUUGUAAAAGUGUACACCAAGUGAUGUUGGAAAUAACGGGCCAGAGGAAAUCUACCCAGUCAGAAAUUCACAGUGCUCUGACCCCACCCCAUGGGAUUGGUUGCUCAUUUCUGCUGUCAGGACUCCAUAACAAACUAAAGACUUGUAGAGGUGGCAUUUUGUAGGCAAUAUAGACCAGUGAACUGCCUAUGGAUAAGAACUAAUAAUACUAUAAUAACUAAAGUUUUAAACAUUGAAGAAAAGCUUACAAGUAAGAGACAUGUUAAGGGCAAAGAGCUGGAAUCUGGGUGCGUAAAGAGGGAAACUAGGAAACUGGAAUAAAUUCUGCCUCGGACCUCACAGAAAAUAGGAAAGCUUCUGGCUGGGAAAAGAAAGAAGUUGGAAACUGCAGCAGCAUCACACCACAAACUAUUCCUGAAACAUUCCUGGCAAAUACUGAGAAAUCUUGCUUGAGAUGAGAACAGAUGAGCUGACACAUGCUAUCUCAAACUUUGACAAGGAUAUGUAUUUCUUCUAAGGUAUUUGUCAACACCAUGAGAAACAUAUCCAAGGAAUCUUGGAGGGCUGAGAUCCAGUAUUGUGGAUGGGCCAGCGGAGAGGUUGGGAAUGUCCUCCUUUCCAUAAGAAGUUGUCUACCGCUUAUAGAGCGGCCAGAGAUGGAGGGGUAGCUAAAAAAAAAAUCAGUGUGCUGCUAGUCUUUUUCUGUUUUCUAUGAUCUGGUCUCCUACUCAAGAAAAACUUCAGAGAGGAAGCUAGAAGAGGGCUGGGGAAGGAUAGCCAGAGUCUGAUUACGACACUGAGUGUAACCUAAAGAACUUUGCUGUGAGCAUCACUGGUCCUGGAACACAAAAUCUACGGAAGAUGUGACUUAAUGCACACGGGGAAAAAGCACCUGAAAAUAAAGACAAGGAGAUGGUGUGGAGACCUGAGGACAUCACACAAAAUAAAAUGGAGAAGUUAACUACAAAUGAUGAUUGCAAAGAGGAUAGAUAUGGGAGACAAAGGUGAGCCACAUAGCCAUAAUUACUCUUUCUGAACAAAAGGAUAAAGAAAUGGAUGCUCAAGGAUGUAAUAGAAAACUUUACUAAAAUAAGGAAACAUUUAUAGAACAGAAUGUCCCAGAAAAAAAUGAUAUACAAUGAUUUAUCCUGGGGAAGUCAUUAAACUCUAGGGCUAAAGAAAGAAUAAUAAGGGCAUCCAAGUAAAAAUAUUUCAUCACUCAUUGAAUAUUUUUUUGAGAGCUGCUAUGUGCCAGGCACUAUACCAGGCUUGGGAUUCCAAUGAUGAACAAGAUAGUCAAGGUUCCUGCCUUCAUGGAAUUUCUAGUGUUGGGGUACGGGUAGGAGGAUUAGAAAACAGAAUAAACAAGUAAACAAAUAGGGUAUUUAGCGUGAUCUUUUUUCCCUAAAACACUAUCUAUCCAUAUUUUGAAACUCUGAUCUGUGUAAGUGCAUAGAGAGGUGUUGAGGAUGGUGUUUAACAAUUGUUGAAAAUUUUUAUUUCUAGGCAGAAAGAGUUUGCUCUUUUUUCUGUACUUUUCUACAUCACUUGAGUAUUUCCUAAUAAGCAUGUGCUUUAAAGUCCAAAUAAAAACAUUAUUCUAAAAUUAACACCUAGAAGCCUAGUGUCAGGGCCAGCUGACUAACACCUCCUUUCCAUCCCUGUCCUGUGUCCCUGCUCUGCUCCUCCUGUGGUGCUCCACAAGGUGGUUUGGCCUAGACGGUGGAUUAUUUACUUGCCCAAAGAGCAUGCUAACUGAAUUAGAAGCAAGAGAAUGAGACAGGUCAUCUGGUGGUGUUGCAAAGGUUAAUAUGCUGUCUUGCUUGCUGACUUCUAACUUUUUAGGAAUGAAGCCUUUUAGGCCAAGAUCUCUGUGCCAGGGGUAGGGCCAGAUCAGAGAUUAGGAAUCACAAUCCAUGAAUACCUCUGAAACUAGAAAUCUGCCUGCCUCAUGCAGCAAGCAGGGGUGCCUGCAGAAGACUGUCCUUUUCAUAGUUCCUUGAAAAAUAUCACUAGUUUAGAACUGUCUAUAAUUCACAACAGCAACUUGAAAGACUGGAUAGGAACCUUAGGGGGCAGUGAGUUUAUGUUAAUGGAGGGGAACAACUCAGAAAAGGAGGGUGAGGAUAGUUGCACAACUUGAAGAAUGUACUCAGUGUCACUAAAUGGUACAUGCAGAAACUGUUGAAUUGAUGUAUGUUUUGCUGUGUAUACUGUCAACAAUGAUGACAAAAUAAAUAAAAUUAAAACAAACAAGACUCGAAAAUCAUCACUGGUCCAGCUCUACUAGGAAAACAUUAAGUGAUUUGGCUGUGAAAACAAAGUUGGUUUCAGGAUCAAAUGGCCAGUUUGUUGAGUGCCUACAAUGUGACAAGUAAAUCAUUUCAUUUAAUUCUCAUCAGAACCCUGCGGGAUGGGUAUACCAUUUUACAGGUGAGGAAGCUAAGGUUCAGAGAGGGUAAGUAAGAGACCCAAGGUCACACAGCUACUGAGUGACAGAGUCAAGAACUGAAACCGGGUCUGUUUGUCUCCAGAGAAGAAAGACCCCUGCCCACAGAGGUAAGACUACCCAGGGUGUUCAAAUCUGAUUUUACAAAUCAAACCAAUCCAAGAGCUCCACGGAGUGGGAAGAACAAAGCCUUUAUUCUUAUAAAUGUAAAUUGAAAAGUAAUAAGACCAAGUCCUACAUGCUGAUGUAGAACGACCUCUAAGACAUACAGUUAGUUAGAAAAAAAAGGUGCAGAUCAAAUAUAUUUGUUAUGCUUUCAUUUAUGUUAAAAAAGAUAGAUUGAGUGAUAUGAAUUGCUGCUUUUGUAGGCCAAAACUGUUUGAAUGGUGGUCAUUUCAUACGGUUCAUUCAGAUGUAUAUGCAUAAUAGACACCUGUAUAUGUUUUCUUGUAUACACACAAUACAGAAGAAACUGGUAAUGGGGGGUUCACCUUGGGUAGGUGCCUGGAGACUAGAGGUCUGGGAUAAGAAAGAUAGGGAAUUUACUACCAGGAACAAGUAUGACUUUUGUAAAUUAAAAGUAAUAAAAAAAAGAGAGAAAUGUAAUUGACACCUUCAGUCUGAGGUUUCAGGAUUCUCACCUUAGGACAGACUCUUGAUCCAAAUUAAAAAAUAAAAUCAGGUCGUCUUUUUCAUUUCCUCUGAUGUGAGGAACAGACUAUAUUUACUCUUUUAUUCUGUGAUCACUUGAAACAAGAAGGAUCAUUUAGCAAAAACAGGCCCCACUCUACUGGUGAGAACAUGGCAUGGAUUGGAGAUGGGAAAAUAUGUUUAAAAAUAAGAGAGAGAAACCUGGAACUUGGUCCUCAGUGCUCCCCUCCUUUAGUUCUUCCCCUCCAGGGGCACAAACCUCUUCCAACCCCAGGAUUUUUUUCAAGAGCUGAAGAUAUGAUGCAAGAUGACCAUCAGAAGAGACAACAUUUACCACAAGGGUCAACCAGAUCUCUACCUAGUUGGGUCAGAGCAAAAAUAUGGUUUGGAUUCAGCGGUUGUGUUGAACUAUAAAGAUGGCUGACCACAAGGAUCAAGAUGCCUACGGUUCAGUUAUGUCAGUUAUAUAAAUUCAGCUUUUGAGCACGUCUCUCUGGGCAUCACAGAACGGUUGGCAUAACUUAACCUAAACUAAGGAGAUCUCAGAAGCCAUAGAGGAUGACAUCACUGGUGGAUUAUUUAUAUUUAUGGCCCCAAUUUGUCCAUGCCUCCCUGUCUCCAUGAAUUUUGCUAGUUCUCUCUCAUACUGACUCUAGACUUUGUCAUGUAACUUGCUUUGGCCAAUGGGGCUGUAGCAAAUGUGACGAAAAGCCCUUGAGCAAUGGCCCUCUCCCUGCUAUUGGGAUCCUGCUAAGCUGCCAUGUGAACAGCCUGCUGGAGGAUGAGACACCACAUGGAACAGAAGUAUGCCACCCUGGAAGAGUCAUCAUAUACCAACCAGUCCCCAGUUGACCUGGCAACUGACAAUCAGCAGACAGCCAUCACAUGAGUAUGCCCAGCUAAGGUCAACUGAGUGUAGUCUAAAUAGGGAGAGUCACCCAGCUGAGCCCAGUCCAAAUUGCUAUUCCUAGAGUAGUGACUAAACACAUGGUGGUUGUUUUAAGUUACUAUAUUUUGGGAUGGUUUAUUAUAUGGCGUCAGCUAACUGAGAAUAACAUCCUUGCUUUUUAGUAUUUGAUGUCCAUAAAAAUGCCCAAAAUAACAGAUAUCUUUUGAAUUUACAGCAAAUUCUGAAUAUCUGAAUAAAUGAGGAAUAGGAAUGAUGGAAAACCAAAAUUCAUAGACAACCCAAAAUUCUAUUAUCAGUUGCUAGUUUCAAAUUUAUUCUGGCCUGAAUCAAGUUAAAAAAAAAAAAAAAGGACUCCUGUGGAUCUGGUCUCCUUUGCAAUGGAUGUUAAUGAGCAGUGACAGGGAGACAGGCAAGCAGCUGGUAGGAGGGAGAGAGAAACGAGACCUGGAAAAUCAGGUUCCGGUUAAUGAGUUCACUAGCAGCAGGGUCUAUUAUCGGUGAGCACUGGUUUUUCCUUCAGGCUUUUGAUUAGCUUGCUUCAUAAUCAGCUAAAAUGCACUGUGGCUUCUCAAGUUAUACAAUCCAAGGUUUACUUCUUAAAUACACUCCGAAGUAAUAUGUGAUAAAUUCUAAUGCAUGAAUCUUGUUUAUGAAAAAUAAUGUGUACUCUGCCUGCUUCUAAAAAAGAAUUUGAUGUGGUAGAAAGUCUGUUAUAAUAAAGACAUUUGUAUCAGGUGCUGGUGGUGAGAACCUGCCAGUGCUCUGCCAAUAUCCCCUCGGUCAACUGUGCGGUCGCCUGUAAACAGCUACUGUCCGUGCUAAAGGCUUCUCGUGUCUCUCUGUGUGGAGCAUUCCAGAGCUGAAAGGGAGUAAAUGCCCUGGAGUGACCAUCAGUCAAUGAGGAACAGGAGAUGGGAGCAAAAAUCCAUCUGGACCCAUAGAGGGACAACUAGAGAUGGGCUCUCUGCAGUCACUUAAUUCUUAGUGACGACCUGUUCAUUAACACAUUUUAUGUUAGUUUUCCUUUCUCCCCUGUCUCACUUUCCCACUCCCUUACGGUGCUUCCUGGGAUCAUGUCACAAAGAAACUACUUGCACCCAUUUUCUCAUUUCAGAGUCAGCUUUGCGGGAAACUCAAACUAAGACAGAAUUAUCAUAAAUGAUAUUCAAUUAAUGUUUAGCUUCUUGCAAUUAAGGUUAAGGAAAACAAAAUCUCACUCUUCGGCAGAGAUAAGUAUAAACCAUUAGUUAUUAAAAUGUUCUCCUUUUUCAAUUAAUCACCUUUGCAUUGUAGGGGUCAUUCACUCCUCCUCAAGAGUUGCUGUUGGGGGGCUCUAUGCUACUAUUUGGAAUGAGUCACCCUGGGGUCAAGGACUGUCUUGGACUCUGGAGGAGCUUCUCAGGGGGUGGAGGGACCAAUAAGGGUUCUGAAUAGAAGAGCAGUUUUCCCAAUAAGGAAGAUGUAAGAAGUCUUGUGAGGUGUCUCUCCCAGGUCAUCGCACAGAUAAAAACAGAGAUGCUAUAUUUGUCUAGAGUUGUCAGCUAGAUGCAAAUGUGCCAGCUAGAAUGCUUUUGGUGGUUUUAAAAAGUUAUUUGAAAUUCUUCCCAUCAAGAUGUGAAGUGUAUGCUAUUCUUCCUUGAAAAAAGGGCCCACCUUUGUGACCGCCUCAAUGAAGAGAAUGUGGUGAAAGUUACACGGUGUGACUUCCAACGGUAGGUUAGAAAAGGCCAGGUUGGUUUCUCUUGGGACAUUCUCUGUGGGAGCCUUUAGCUGCCAGGUGAAAAGCCUGACUCCACUCCCCUGAGGCCACCAUGUGAAGAGAGCAAACAAAGAGGGAGAGAGAGAGAUGUUUUGGGGGUCCUGGCUCUUCUAACCCCUAGCUGUUGAGUCUUCUCAGCCCAGGUGCUAGACAUAUGAGUGAAAAAUGCUUUAAGAUGACCCCAGCAACAGCUGCCACCUGACAGCAGCCUCAUGAGAGAACAACCUUGCUGAACGAAACCAACCACCAGAUUGAUGAGCAAAAUAAAUGCUUUUGUUUUAAGUCACAAUUAAUUUUAGGGCCUUUUUCUAUACAAGUGUAUUUGGUGGGUGACAGAAUAUCCAGUUAAAAUGUGGAUCUUAGUUUUCUCACUGACACAAAGUCUGGAGGUAGGUUGUCCUGGGGCUAGUUAAUCCAGCUAUUCAGUGAUGUCAAGGCCCUGGCUUAGCCUCUCAGUGAACAUUUUGCCUUUUUCCUCAUGAUAACAAGACCGCUGCUACAAAUCCAAGUUGCGCAUUCUCAAGAGAUCCAAAUGUGGGCAGGAAGGGGCAUUUCACACUAUGCGUCUCUCUCUUUAUUGAAAACUUUUCUACAAAUCUGUUCUGCAUACUACCCUUGGGUUGCAUUGGUCUUGACCUAGCUGCGAGGAAGGAAGGGAAAGUGAGUAUCUCAUAAUUCUAGUCUCUAAAGUAGGAGGCCUACCAUCAAUCUGUCAAUUUCUCAUACAGUCGUGGCUUUUGCGUUGCUAUGAUGCUGGAAGAUACGCCCCAGGUAUUUCAAAUACCAGCGGGGUCACCCAUGGCGGACCUAUUUCAGCAGAGCUUCCAGACUAAGACAGGCUAAGAAGAAAGGCUUGGCAAUCUACUUUCAAAAAUUAGAAAAUUAAAACACUGUGGGCCACAGAAUAUUGUUGCAGACUUUGACUCACUUACUUUAGACACAUCAUCAAGAGGGACUAAAUGCUAGAGAAGGACAUCAUGUUUGGUAAAGUGGAGGGCAAAGAAGGCAAGAGAAUACCAGAAGGAUGUUUACCUGUGUUUUAUUGACUAUGCAAAGGCAUUCAACUGUAUGGAUCAUAACAAAUUACGGAUAACGUUGUGAAGAAUGGGAAUUCCAGAACACUUAAUUGUGCUCAUGAGGAACCUUUACAUAGAUCAAGAGGCAUUUGUUCGGGCAGAACAAGGGGAUACUGAUUGGUUUAAAGUCAGGAAAGGUGUGCUCCAGGUUGUAUUCUUUCACCAUACCUAUUCAAUCUGUAUGCUGAGCAAAUAAUCUGAGAAGCUGGACUAUAUGAAGAAGAACAGGGCAUCAGGAUUGGAGGAAGACUCAUUAACAACCUGCAUUAUGCAGAUGACACAACCUUGCUUGCUCAAAGUGAAGAGGACUUGAAGCACUUACUAAUGAAGAUCAAAGACCACAGCCGUCAGUAGGGAUUGCACCUCAACAUAAAGAAAACAAAAAUCCUCACAACUGGACCCAUGAGCAACAUCAUGAUAAAUGGAGAAAAGAUUGAAGUUGUUAAGGAUUUCAUUUUCCUUGGAUCCACAAUCAACAGCCAUGGAAGCAGCAGUCAAGAAAUCAAAAGGCGCAUUGCAUUGGGUAAAUCUGCUGCAAAGAACCUCUUUAAAGUGUCGAAGAGCAAAGAUGUCACCUUGAAGACUAAGGUGCACCUGACCCAAGCCAUGGUAUUUUUCAGUCGCAUCAUAUGCAUGUGAAAAGACUGAAGAAGAAUUGAUGCCUUUGAAUUGUGGUGUUGGCAAAGAAUAUUGAAUAUACCAUGGACUGUCAAAAGAAUGAACAAAUCGGUCUUGGAAGAAGUACAACCAGAAUGCUCGUUAGAAGCAAGGAUGGCGAGACUGGGUCUUACAUAUUUUGUACAUGUUGUCAGAAGGGAUCAGUCUCUGGAGAAGGACAUCAUGCUGGCAAAGUACAUGGUCAGCAGAAAAGAGGAAGACCCUCAACGAGGUGGAUUGACACAGUGGCUGCAACAAUGGGCUCAAGCAUAACAACGAUUGUAAGGAUGGCUCAGGACAGGGCAGUGUUUUGUUCUGUUGUGCACAGGGUCGCUAUGAGUUGGAGCUGACUUGACGGCACCUAACAACAACAACAAGAAGUCAAGGGAAACCCUUAAUGAGGUGGUUUGUGCAAGACAACGGGUUUCUCUUUCUACAUGGCCUUUUUGGCCUUGGGCUUGUAGUUCUGCAGUGAGGAGGAUGGCUAGCGCCAGAAUUGACAAAAAGUUGGAAGAGGUAUGUCUGACUUCCACCUCAUAAUAAUCAGCUUUGAGUUGUGGUGGUGAUUCUUAUUCCCCCUCCUGAAGUUAGAGGACCUUUUUCAUUACUAUUACUACUACAUUACAGACCAACACAAUUGUUGCAACAAUGGACUCAAGCAUACCAAUGAUUGUGAUGAUGGUACAGGACAAGGAAACAUUUCUUUCUUUUGUACAUAAGGUCACCAUGAGCUAGAGCCAACUUGAUGGUAACUAACAACAACAAUAAAGUAGGAGAUGAGCCCUGCCACCAUGAAAAAGAGGGUUGGAUGUGGUUGUUGAAUAAAUAACCAAUAUUGUUCUCUAGAAAUGAACUUUCCAGUUAAUGAAAGUUACCUUGCCAGGUAGAAAAAUUUUGUCUUAUUUUUACCAUUUAUGCUUAAAAUCAUUCUAAAAUAUUUUCUGUUGUAAAUUCCCUGGUGGAUCCUUUAACUACCUGGAACCUGCUCUGUCCUCUUGUGGGACACUGAAUCUAAACUGGAAGCAGCUGUUCAUUUAACUGCAUGGGAAAUAUCCCUAGCCCGCCUGAGGGCUGUUCUGUUGUAGACAUUGCCAUCCGUGGUGUCCCCUAUAUUAUCACCCUGACCUGGUUCUGGACUCCCCUUUCAGUUUGGUGUCUGGACUUGUUCGAGUUCCAGCACCUGGUACCACCCAUACGGGCACUAAAUCAUGCUUUGAUAAACGCUUCAUGUGUUAGCUGUCUGUUGCUGAUUUACUAAUUACUCCCGUAUUUAGUGGCUUAAAGCAUCAAACAUUUAUUGUCUCACACAGUUUCUGAGGGACAGAAAUAUGGGAGUGACUCAGCAAGGUGGUUCUGGCUCAGGGUCUCUCUGUGGGUUUGUAGUCAAGAUGUUGAUAGGGGCUGCCAUCAUGUGAAGGUUUGACAGGGGCUAGAGGAUCCCGUUUCAAUGGCUCACUCACGUGACUGUUGGCUGAAGGCCUCAGUUCAUUGCUGGCUAUUGACAGGCCUCAGUUCCUUGCCUUUCCACAGGGAUGCCUAAGUUCCUCAAUAAAGCAGCUGGCUUAUCCCCAGAAAGAGAGCAAGAGAGGCAAAAGCCCAUAGGUCUUUUAUAAUCUUGCCUUGGAAACAACAUACCAUCACUCUGCCAUUACUAAUAACACGGACCGACCUUGAUCCCAUGUGCGAAGAGACUACACAAGGGUGUGGGUACCAGGAAGGGAGGGUCUUUAGGACCAUUCUGAUGGUUGACUACCAAGUUUAACAACACUGCCAGCCCCCUGUGCUCUCCCUCACACUUUUUCCAACUUUUUGAUUUUUUUUUUUAUUCUCCCUCCCUUUUUAUCACAUGCCUCUGAAAGAUACCCACUCUGCACAUGCUGCUAGCACUUUGCCUGUAUCCUCUCAGAUCCCUUUUAACUUUUUCUGCUGUGGCUCUUCCCCUGGCUUUGGGCUCUUUCCCCCCUUGCCUCAGCUUGAGAUAACUGAGAAGUAACUAUGCUCCAGAGCACCCCACCCCCCACCCCAACUGCAGGUCCAGGCUCAAGCUAACCUCUUGUAGGACUUUGCUUGAGACCACACCCUUGCUCGGCUUCCUCUUUUUCUUUCCUUCUUUCCCCACCCCUUCCUGAUUUUCCCUGGAAGCACUUCCUUAAUAAAACAGUAGUUUAAGAAUCCUUGUCUCGGGGCACCUGUCCUAAAACAGCAGUUGUUAUUAGAGUAGGCAAUCUCCUUGUGUUUGUGAACUAUGCAUACGUGUUUGUUAGCUCUCUCUGAAAAGGAACAGUAGAGAAGUUCCUCAUAAGGUUACAGUUGAGAUUUCAAAAUAAACAACAAAACUAAAAUAGACAUUGUUGUUUUAUAUCUCCGAGUCAAUUCUGACUCAUAGCGACACUAUAUGACAGUGUAGAACUUCCCCAUAGGGUUUGCUAGGCUGUAUCUUCAUGAGAGAAGAUUGCCUGGUUUUUUCUCCUGUGGAGUGGCUGGUGGGUUCUAACCACUGACCUUUCAGUUAGUAACUGAGUGCUUUAACCAUUAUGCCACCACCAGGGCUUCUUAAAAUAGACAUACCUACAUAUAUUAAAAUGCUAAAAAGUGUGCCCGAAUGACAGAAAAAUGUGCAUUGCAUUUAUUUAUCUUCUAAACCCCUCCUGCCUAUCUUCUCUGCUCAAGCUACCAGUAUCCUCAGUGCCUAGAGAGGGUCAGAGAGCCUGACAUCAUGUACUAAUGACACAUUAGUAGGGCCAUUAACUUUUGGAGGGCAUAUGCUAAACCUACUCUGCAGUAAGGAGCUAUUAAGCUCACUUAAAUGUUUCUCUAGGAGCCCUCUUGGCUGCUCCCAAGUCUCUAGAAAUAUGAAGAGGGAGAUCAAAAUUGCUACCUCCAAGAGACAUGUGUUUGUGAAUAACUAAGGAUCUUUGAACACCAGCACAUGUUUAUCAUGACGAUUCCACCUUUUUACACAAGGCACAGGAGGAGGGUUAAAAGAAGUCUUCAUUGGCUUGUCAACAGAGGAGAAGUGAGCUCUCGCCUUUUCAGACAUCUGUAAUUUCUAGUGUUUCUAUAAUACCGAUGAACCACUUGUGAAUCCCAUAGACCCUCAAUGCAGAGGUUGCCCACCUGGCCUGCAACCUGGACCAUGAUGGUUCCUUCACAGCAGCCACCACUCUGCAAAUACUUUGAAUCUCACUCUUGUAGCAACCACUGUAACAUUUUUGCAGAUAUCUCUUAAACUUGCAGUUUGUCCUGGGAGCCAUAUUUCCUCCAUCUACUUUCUGGAACUUCCUUUGGGACUCAUUUGCUUUUUGAAAACCUCAAACUGGGAUCCAUUUCUCCCCAAUGAGAUACGUUCAUCGGGAACAAAUGUCUGUACAGGAACAGCCUCCCAACAUAGCAUAAACAUUUCCAAGACCACUGUUGACAUUCAUUUCUCCCAGCACAGCUAUUUUCUACAGAAGUCUCUGUGUCUUCAGAAGGCUAGAAACAAUAGGCCUUUAUUCAGACCUACUGGGGAAACCCUUCUUGCCUCCCUCUGAAUUAACUUGGUACUAUUUCCCCUCUUGAAAUCCUUUUUCCACUCUUCAUAGUAAGCACCAAAAUGGGUUCUUGGUCUUCCACUAAUGCUUGCAUCUUUUUAUUCUGGUUGUUUCAAUGAUACCUGGAUAUUUAAGUUCCCAUGUGUUAUUGUUGUUGUCAGGUGCUGUCAAGUCAGUUCUGACUUAUGGCGACACAAAAUGAAAUACUGCCUAGUCCUGCACCAUUCUUACAAUCUUUGCUACACUUGCAGCCACGGAGUCAAUCCAUCUUGUCAAGGGUCUUCCUUUUUUUUGCUGGCCCUCUACUUAACCAAGCCUGAGGUCCUUCUUCAGGGACUGGUUCCUCCUGAUAACAUGUCCAAGUAUGUGAGACAAAAUCUGGCCAUCCUCAUUCCAAGGAGCUUUCUGGCUGUACUUCUUCCAAGACAGAUUUUUUUCAUUCUUCUGGCAGUUCUUGGUGUAUUCAGUAUUCUUUGCCAAUGCCAUAAUUCAAAUGCAUCAAUUCUUCUUUGGUCUUUCUUAUUCAUUGUCCAGCUUUCACUUGCAUAAGAGGCAAUUGAAGAUACAAUGGCUUGGGUCAAGCGCACCUUAGCCCUCAAAGUGACAUCUUUCUUUUGAACACUUGAAAGAAGUCUUUUGUGGCAGAUUUGCCCAGUGCUAUGUAUUGACUGAUUUCUUGAUUGUUGCUUCCAUGGACAUUGAUGGUGGAUCCAAGGAAAGUGAAAGCCUUGACAACUUCAAUAUUUUCUCUUUUUGUCAUGUUGUUGCUUACUGGUCCAGUUGUGAGGAUUUUUUUUCUGUUGAGGUAUAAUCCAUACUGAAGGCUGUAUUCUUUGAUCUUCAUCAGCAGGUGCUUCAAGCGCUCUUCACUUUCAGCAAGCAAGAUUGUGUCAUCAGCAUAUUGCACACCGUUAAUGAGUCUUCCUCCAAACCUGAUGCUGCAUUCUUCGUGUAGUCCAGCUUCUCAGAUUAUUUGCUCGGCAUGCAAAUUGAAUAAGUAUAGUGAAAGGAUACAACCCUGAUGCAUACAUUUCCUGAUUUUAAACCACACGGUAGUCCCUUGUUCUGUUCUAACGACUGCCUCUUGAUCUAUGUACAGGUUCUGCAUGAGCACAAUUACGUGUUCUGGAAUUCCCAUUCUUUGCAAUGUUAUCCAUAAUUUGUUAUAAUCCGUACAGUUGAAUGCCUAUACACAGUCAAUAAAACACAGGUAAACAUUUUUCUGGUAUUCUCAGCUUUCAGCCAAGAUCCAUCUGACAAUCAGCAAUGAUAUCCCUCAUUCCAUGCCCCUUUCUGAAUCUGGCUGGAAUUCCUGGCAGUUCCCUGUCGAUAUACUGCUGCAACCAUUUUUGAAUUAUCCUCAGCAAAAUUUUACUUGUGUGUGAUAUUAAUAAUAUUGUUGGAAAAUUUGUGCAUUCUGUUGGAUCACUUUUCAUGGCAAUGGGCACAAAUAUGGAUCUCUUCCACACUGCUGACCAGGUAGCUGUUAUCCAAAUUUCUUGGCAUAGACGAGUGAGCAUUUCCAGCAUUGCAUCUGUUUGUUGAAACAUCUUGACUGAUAUUUUGUCAAUUCUUAGAGCUUUGUUUUUGCCAAUGAGUUCAGUGCAGCUUAGACUUCUUCCUUUGAUAUCAUUUGUUCUUGAUCAUACGCUAUUUCCUAAAAUGGCUGAACGUCGAUCAAUUCUUUUUCGAACAGUGACUCUGUAUUCCUGCCAUCUUCUUUUGAUGCUUCCUGCAUCAUUCAAUAUUUUACUCAUAGAAUCCUUCAAUAUUGCUUGAAUUUUUAAUUCAGUUCUUUCAGCUUGAGAAAUGCUGAGUGUGUUCUUCCCUUUUGGUUUUCUAACUUCCACAUUUCAUUAUAAUACUUUACCUUGCCUUCUUAAGCUGCCUGUUGAAAUCUUCUGUUCAGCUCUUUCACUUCAUCAUUUCUUCCAUUCACUGUAGCUACUCUACAUUCAGGAGCAAGUUUCAGAGUCUCUUCUGACAUUCAUUUUGGUCUUUUCUUUCUUUCCUGUCUUUUUUUUUUUAAUUGUACCCUUUUAGUCUCGUUUUGUUUUAUGGGCCUGUCUAAUCUUUGGAUGAAGGACAAACCUCAGGAGUGACUUCAUUACUGAGCUAAAAGGGUGUCCGGGUACCAUACUUUCAGGGUUCCUCCAGUCUCUGUCAGGCCAGUAAGUCUGGUCUAUUUUUGCGAGUUAGAAUUUUGUUCUACAUUUUUCUACAGCUCUGUCUGGGGCCCUCUACUGUGAUCCUUGUCAGAGCAGUCAGUGGUGUUAGUCCAGCAUCAUCUCGUUUUACUAGACUAGUCUGGUGGAGGCUGUGGUAGAUGUGGUCUAUUAGUCCUUUGGACUAAUCUUUCCCUUGUAUCCUUGGUUUUCUUCAUUAUUCCUUGCUCCUGAAGGGGUGAGACCAAUGGAAUAUCUUACAUGGCCUCUCACGGUCUUUUAAGAACCCAAACGCUACUCCCCAAAGUUGAGUGUAGAACAUUUUCUUUAUAAACUAUGUUAUGCCAGUUGAGCUAGAUGUUCUCUGAAACCAUGGUCCCCACAGUGCUCAGCCCAGCAAUUCAGGGCCUCAGGGGGUUUGAAUGUAUCUGUGGAGCUUCCAUGACCUUGUCUUGUACAAGUUGUGCUGGCUUCCCCAGUACUGUGUACUAUCUUACCCUUCACCAAAGUUGCUACUUAUCCAUUGUCUAUUAAGUGUUUUUCCAUCCUCACCCCUCCCCUCGCUCAUAAUCAUCAAAGAUUGUUUCUUUUUGUGUGUAAACCUUUUCAUGAGUUUUUACAAUAGUGGUCUCAUACAAUAUUUGUCCUUUUGUGAUUGACUUAUUUCACUUAGCAUAAUGCCUGUCAGAUUCAUCCACGUUAUGAGAUGCUUUGCAGAUUCAUCAUUGUUCUUUAUCGUUGCAUAAUACAUCAUUGUGUAUAUACCAUAGUUUACCCAUUCCUCUGUUGAUGGGCAUCUAGGUUUUUCCAUCUUUUUGCUAUUGUGAACAAUGUUGCAAUGAAUAUGGGUGUGCAUAUAUCUAUUCAUGUGAAGACUCAUAGUUUUCUAGGAUAUAUUCCUAGGAGUGGGAUUGCUGAAUCAUAUGGUAUUUCUAUUUCUAGCUUUCUAAAGAAGAACCAUAUCAUUUUCCAAAAUGUUUGCAUCAUUUUGCAUUCCCACUGGUAGUGCCUAAGAGUUCCAAUCUCCCCGUAGUCUCUCUAACAUUUGUUAUUUCCUGUUUUUUUAAUGUGUGCGGGUAAUGCUGGAGUGAGAUGGUAUCUCGUUGUUGUUUUGAUUUGCAUUUUUCUAACGGCUAGUGAUCUUGAGCAUUUCCUCAUGUGUCUGUUGACCACUUGAAUGUCUUCUUUGGUGAAGUGUCUGCUCAUUUCUUUUGCCCAUUUUUUAACUGGAUUAUUUGUCUUUUUGUUAUAGAGGUGUUGGAUUUUCUUAUAGAUUUUAGAGGUUAGAUCUUUGAUUUGUAAUAGACAAAAAAUCUUUUCCAGGCUAUAGUUUCUCUUUUUACUCUUGAUGAAGUCUUUUGAUAAGCAUAAGUGUUUCAUUUUUAGAAGAUCCUGGUUAUCUAGGUUAUCUUCUGUAGUUUGUGUGAUGUAAGCUAUGGUUCGUAUACUGUUAAUGGCAUGUAUUAGGGUCUCUAGUGUUGAUCCUAUUUUUUCUUCUAUGAACUUUAUAGUUUUAGGUUUUAUAUUUAGGUCUUUGAUCCAUUUUGAAUUCAUUUUUGUGUAUGGUGUGAGGUACAGGACCUGUUUCAUUUUUUUGCUGAUGGACAUCCGGUUUUGCCAGCACCAUUUGUUAAAAAGACUGUCUUUUCCAAAUCUGAUGGACAUUGGGACCUUGUCAAAGAUCAGGUGACUGUAGGUGGAUGGAUAUACAUCUCGGUUCUCAUUUCUGUUCUACUGGUCCGUGUUUCUGUCAUAGUACCAGUACCAGGCUGUUUUGACUACUGAUGUUGUAUCGUAGUUUCUGAAGUUAGGUAGUGCGAGUCCUUCUACUUUAUUCUUCUUCUUCAAUUAUGCUUUACUUAUCCUUGGCUUCUUCCCUUUCCAUGUAAAGUUAAUGAUUGGUUUUUCCAUCUCUUUAAAGAAUGUUAUUGAUAUUUGGAUCGGGAUUGUGUUGUAUUUGUAAAUUGCUUUGGGUAGAAUUGUCAUUUUCACAAUGUUGAGUCUGCCUAUCCAUGAGCAUGGUAUGUUUUUCCAUUUAUGUAAAUCUCUUUUGGUUUCUGGAAGUAGUGUUUUGAAGGGUUCUUUGUACAGGUCUUUGAUACUCCCGGUUAGAUUUAGUCCUAAGUAUUUUGUUUUUUUAGGGGCUAUUUUUUUUUUUAUUAUAAAUGGUGUUGUUUUCCUGAUUUCCUUUUCAUUGUUCUCUUUGUUGCUAUUUUAGCAACUGAUUUUAGUAUGUUUAUCUUGUAUCCUGCCACUCUGCUGAAUCUUUCUAUUAAUUCCAGUAGUUGUGUCAUGGAAUCUUUUCGGUUUUCUGUGUAUAAUAUCAUAUCAUCCACAAGUAGGUGCAGUUUAAUUUCUUCAUUACCAAUUUGGGUGCCCUUUAUUUCUUUUUCUUGCCUUAUUGCUCUAGCUAGGACUUCCAGCACAAUGUUAAAUAGGAGUAGUGAUAAAGGGCAUCUUUGUCUUGUUCCUGUUCUCAAGGGGUGUGUUUUCAGCCUCUCUCCAUUAAGAAUGAUGUUGGCCAUUAGUUUUGGAUACCAAAAAAAAAAAAAAACCAAACCUGGUGCUCUCAAGUUGGUUCUGACUUAUAGCGACACUGAAGGAUUGAGUAGAACUGUCCCAUAGGGACACCUGGUGGCUAUGAACUGUUGACCUUCUGGUUAGCAGCCAUAGCUCUUAACCACUAUGCCAUCAGGGUUUCCUAGUUUUGCAUAGAUGCCCUUUAUUAUGCUGAGGAAUUUCCCUUUUAUACCUAUUUUAUUGAGAGUUUUUUAAUCAGGAAUGGGUGUUGGACUUUGUCGAAUGCCUUUUCUGCGUCAGUUGAGAUGAUCAUGUUAUUCUUUUCUUUCUUUUUAUUUAUGUGGUGGAUUAUGUUGAUUGAGUUUCUGUUUUUGAAACAUCCUUGCAUAACUGGUAUGAAUACUACUUGGCCUUGGUGUAUUAUUUUUUCAAUAUGAUGCUGAAUUCUAUUGGCUAGAAUUUUGCCAAGAAUUUUUGCAUCUAUAUUCAUGAGAGAUAUUGGCCUGCAAUUUUCUUUUUUUGUGGUGUCUUUGCCUGGUUUUGAUAUCAGGGUUAUGCUGGCUUCAUAGAAUGAAUUUGGAAGUAUCGCUUCCUUUUCUGUGUUCUGAAAUAGUUUGAGUAGUACUCAUGUUAGCUCUUCUCUGAUUGUUUGAUAGAAUUCUCCAGUGAAGCCAUUAGGGCCAGGGCUUUUUUUGUUGUAGUUGUUGGAAGUUUUUUUUAUUACCUUUUCAAUCCCUUCUCUUGUUAUGGGUCUGUUCAGAUUUUCAACAUCAUUUUGUGUUAGUUUGGGUAGAUAGUGUGUUUCUAGAAAUUUGUUCAUUUCCUCUAGGUUUUCAAAUUUUUUGAAGUAUAGUUUUUCAUGAUACUCUGUUUUGAUCCUUUUUAUUUCAGUUGAGUCUGUUGUAAUGUCGCCCAUUUCAUUUCUUAUUUGGGUUCUUUGUGUCCUUCCCUGUUUUUGUUUUGUCAGUUUGGCCGGUGGUUUGUCAAUUUUGUUGAUUCUUUCAAAGAAUCAGCUUUUGGUUUUGUUGAUUCUUUCUAUUGUUUUUCUGUUCUCUAUUUCAUUUAUUUUUGCUCUGAUCUUUACUAUUCCCUUCUUCUGGUGGCUGUGGGAUUUUUUUUUUUUUUGUAUUUGAUCAAGUUGUGUAGCUAAAGCUUUGAUUUUGUCCCUUUCUUCUUUUUUGAUGUGUGCAUCUAUUGCUGUAAACUGACCUCUGAGGGCCGCCUUUGCUGUGUCUCAAAGGUUUUGGUAUGAUGUGUUUUCAUUCUCAUUUGAUUCUAGGAAUUUUUUGAUUCCGUCUUUGAUUUCUCCUUUUACCCAAUGGUUUUUAAGCAGGGUAUUAUUCAGUUUCCAUGUAAUUGAUUUUUUUUCCUCGCUCUUCCUGUUGUUAAUUUCUACCUUGAUAGUGUUGUGGUCAGGGAAGAUAUUUUGUAUUAUCUCAAUGUUUUGAUUUUUUUGAGGGUUGUUCUGUGGCCUAAGAUGUGGUCUAUUCUGGAGAAAGUUCCAAAUGCACUGGAAAAGAAUGUGUACUUUGUGGCUGCUGGGUAGAAUGUUCUAUAUAUGUCUCCGAGGCCAAGUUGUAUGAUUGUGCCCUUUAGCUCUUCCGUGUCUUUGUUGAGUUUCUUUCUAGAUGUUUUUUCCUUUACUGAGAGUGGUAUGUUGAAGUCUCCUACUAUUAUUGUGGAACUGUUAGUUUCUCUUUUCCGUGCUGUUAGAGUUUUUUUUUUUUUUUAUGUCUUUUGUAGCCCUGUCGUUGAGUACAUAGGUGUUUAUUAUGGUUAUGUCUUCAUGAUGGAUUGUUCCUUUAAUCAUUAUACAGUGCCCUUCUUUGUCUUUUAUGGUGGAUUUUGUCUUAAAGUCUGUUUUAUCUGAGAUUAGUAUUGCCACUCCUGCUCUUUUUAGGUAGCCGUUUGCUUGAUAUAUUUUUUUCCAUCCUUUGAUUUUUAAUAAAUUCAAGUCUUCGUUUCUAAGGUGUCUCUCUUUGUAGACAAAAUAAUGAUGGAUCUUUUUUUUUUUUAAUCCAUUCUGUCACUCUUUGUCUCUUUAUGGGUGCAUUUAGGCCAUUUACAUUCUGUAAUUAUUGAUAGGUGUGAGUUUAUCGCUGCCAUUUUGUAGUGCUUUUUUUGUGGUGCUGAUGUUUUCUUUGUUUCUCUUAGUAUCCUGCACUGUUUUUCUUUUGUUUGUGGAUUUCUUUUUCAUUUGUUUUGUACAUUUUGUUUUUACUGAGACUUCAUGUUCUUCUUUAUUUUUAUGAGUAGGAUUUGUUAUAUUUCUUUGUGGUUACUUUGAAAUUUACCCUUAUCUUCCUAGCUUUGAACCAGUCUGUUAUUACUUGGUAUCACCUUGCCUUCCUCUCCAUUAAAAGUUUUAUAUCUAUACUGUUUAUACCCUCUUUUAUUCUUCUGACAUAGUUGUCAUUUACAGAUUAACCUCUCUGGUUCCCGGUUGUAAUUCUUUUGGUUUUGGACAGUCCUUGAGAGUUCAUUUCCUAGGUUGGUAUCUGGCUGGUGCAGUCUUGCCUCCUAGAUUCAGGCUGUGGUCUGAUGUCUUUUGUUCUCAGAGCAAAGGAUUCCCUUUAAUAAUUCUUGUAAGUUUGGGUUGGUUUUUACAUAUUUCCUUAAUUUCUGUUUAUCUGGAAAUAUCCUAAUUUCACCAUCAUAUUUGAAUGAGAGUUUUGCAAUGGUCUUACACAAUAUUUAUCCUUUUGCAACUGACUAAUUUUAAUCAGCAUAAUGCCUGCCAGGUUUCUCCAUGUUAUGAAAUGUUUCACAGAUUCCUCAUUGUUCUUUAUUGAUGCAUAGUAUUCCAUUGUGUGAAUAUACCAUAAUUUAUUUAUCCAUUCAUCCAUUGAUGGGCACCUUGGUUGCUUCUAUCUUUUUGCUAUUGUAAACAGUGCUGCAAUAAACAUGGGAGUGCAUAUAUCUGUUUGUGUAAAGGCUCUUAUUUCUCUAGGAUAUAUUCCAAGGAGUGGGAUUGCUGCGUCGUAUGGUAGUUCUAUUUCUAGCUUUUUAAGGAAGUGCCAAACUGAUUUCCAAAGUGGUUGUACCAUUUUACAUUCCCAUCAGCAGUGUGUAAGUGUUCCAAUCUCUCCACAACCUCUCCAACAAUUAUUAUUUUGUGUUUUUUUGAUUAAUGCCAGCCUUGUUGGCGUAAGAUGGUAUCUCAUUUUAGUUUUGAUUUGCAUUUCUCUAAUGGCUAAUGAUCAUGGGCAUUUCCUCAUGUGUCUGUUAGCUGCCAGAAUGUCUUCUUUGAUGAGGUGCCUAUUUAUAUCCUUUGCCCAUUUUUUUAAUUGGGUUGUCUUUUUAUUAUUGAGGUUUUGCAGUAUCUUGCAGAUUUUAGAGAUUAGACGCUGUUCUGAUUUGUCGUAGCCAAAAAUUUUUCCCCCAGUCUAUAGUCUGUCUUUCUAAUCUUUUGGUGAAGUCUUUUGAUGAGCAUAGGUGUUUGAUUUUUAGAAGUUCUCAGUUACCUAGUUUCUCUUCUGGUGUUUGUGCAUUGUUUGUAAAGUUUUCUAUUCUGUUUAUGUCAUGUAUUAGGUUCCUAGUGUUGUCCCUAUUUUUUCUCCCAUGAUCUUUAUCGUUUUAGAUUUUAUAUUUAGGUCUUUGAUCUAUUUUGAGUUCAUUUUUGUGCAUGGUGUAGGGUAUGGGUUUUGAUUCAUUUUUUUGCAGAUGGAUAUCCAGUUAUGCCAUCACCAUUUUAAAGAGACUGUCUUGUCCCCAUUUAACAGACUUUGGGCCUUUGUCAAAUAUGAGCUGCUCAUAGGUAGAUGAAUUUAUGUCUGGAUUCUCAAUUCUGUACCAUUUGUGUAUGUAUCUGUUGUACCAGUACCAAUCUGUUUUGACUACAUUGGCACUAUAAUAGGUCCUAAAAUCAGGUAGUGUGAGGCCUCUCACUUUGUUCUUCUUCUUCAGUAAUGCUUUAAUUAUCUGGGAGCUCUUCCAUAUGAAGUUGGUGAUUUGUUUCUCCAUCUCAUUAAAAAAUGUCAUUGGAAUUUGGAUUGGAAUUGCAUUGUAUCUAUAGAUAGCUUCUGGUAGAAUACACAUUUUUACAAUGUUAAGUCUUCCUAUCCAUGAGCAAGGUAUGUUUUUCCACUUAUAUAGGUCUCUUUUAGUAGUGUUUUUAGUUUUCUUUGUAUAAGUCUUUUACAUCUCCGGUCAGAUUUAUUCCUAAGUAUUUUAUCUUCUUGGGGGCUACUGUAAAUGGUGUUGAUUUGGUGAUUUCCUCUUCGAUGUUCUUUUUGUUGCUGUAGAGGAAUCCAGCUGAUUUUUGUAUGUUUAUCUUGUAUCCCGAUACUCCGCUGAACUCUUCCAUUAGUUUCAGUAGUUUUCUGGAAGAUUCCUUAGGGUUUUCUGUGUAUAAGAUCAUGUCAUCUGCAACUAGAGAUACUUUUACUUCUUCCUUGCCAAUCUGGAUGCCCUUUAUUUCUUUAUCUAUCCUAAUUGCUCUGGCUAGGACCUCCAGCACAAUGUUGAAUAAGAGUGGUGAUAAAGGGCAUCCUUGUCUGGUUCCUGUUCUCAAGGGAAAUGCUUUAAGACUCUCUCCAUUUAGGACGAUGUUGGCUGUUGGUUUUGUAUAAACACUUUUUUUUAUGUUGAGGAAUUUUCCUUCUAUUCCUAUUUUGCUGAGAGUGUUUAUCAUGAAUGUGUGUUGGGCUUUGUCAAAUGUCCUUUCUGCAUCAAUUGAUAACAUUAUGUGGUUGUUGUCUUUUGUGUUAUUUAUAUGGUGGAUUACAUUGAUUGUUUUCUAAUGUUGAACCAUUCCUCCAUACCUGAUAUGAAUCCCAUUUGGUCAUAGUGGAUUAUUUUUUUUGAUAUGUUGUUGAAUUCUUUGGGCUAGAAUUUUGUUAAGGAUCUUUGCGUCUAUGCUCAUGAGGGAUAUUGUUCUGUAAUUUUCUUUUUUUGUGGUGUCUUUAUCAGGGUUAUGCUGGCUUCAUAGAAUGAGUUCAGGAGUGUUCCAUCAUAUUCUAUGCUCUGAAGCACCUUUAGCAGUAGUGGUGUUAACUCUUCUUGAAAGUUUGGUAGAAUUCUUAGUGAAGCCGUCAGGGCCAGGGCUUUUUUUUUGGGAAGGGGGGGAGGUUUAAAUUACCUCUUCAAUCUCUUCUUUUGAUAUGGGAUUAUUUAGUUGUUCUACCUCUGUUUGUGUUAGUUUAGGUAGGUAGUGUGUUUCUAGAAAUUUGUCCAUUUCCUGUUGGUUUUCUGAUUUGUUGGAGUGCAGUUUUUCAUAGUAUUCUGUUAUGAUGCUUUUAAUUUCAGUUGGGUUUGUUGUGAUAUCACCCAUUUUGUUUCUUAUCUGGGUUAUUUGCUUCCUCUUCUGUUUUUCUUUUGUUAGUUUGGCCAGUGGUUUAUCAAUUUUGUUGACCUUUUCAAAGAACCAGCUUUUGCUCUUGUUAACUCUUUCAAUUGUUUUUCUAUUCUCUAUUUCAUUUAUUUCUGCUCUAAUUGUUGUUAUUGCCUUUCUUCUGGUGUUCGUGGGCUUCUUUUGCUGCUCUCUUUCUGUUUGUUCGAGUUGUAUGAUUAAUGUUUUCAUUUUGUCCUUGUUUUCUUUUUGGAUGUGUGCAUUUAUUGCUAUAAGUUGACCUCUGAGCAAAGAUUCUGGGAGGAUGUGUUUUCAUUCCCAAAGGUUCUGGGAGGAUGUGUUUUCAUUCUCAUUUGAUUCUGUGAAUUUAUUUAUUCCACCCUUGAUUUCUUCUAUAACCCAGCAGUUUUUGAGCAAGGUGUUGUUCAGGUUCCAUGUAUUUGAUUUUUUUCCUUGCUUUUUUUGUUAUUGAUUUCGACUUUUAUGGCUUUAUGGUCAGAAAAGAUGCUUUAUAAUAUUUCAAUGUUUUGGAUUCUGUUAGGGGUUACUUGGUGGCCUAAUAUGUGGUCUAUUCUGGAGAAUGUCCCCUGUGGAUUGGACAAGAAAGUAUACUUGGCUGCUAUUGAGUGGGGUGUUGUGUAUAUGAUCAGAUCAAGUUAGUUGGUUGUUACACUUAGAUCUUCCGUUUCUUUACUGAGCUUCUUUCUGGAUGUUCUGUCCUUCAAUGAAAAUGGUGUGUUGAAGUCUUCUACUGUUAUUGUGGAACUGUGUAUUUCUCUUUUCAAUGCUGUUAGAGUUUGUUUUAUGCAUUUCAAAGCCCUGUCAUUGCAUGUGUGAAUAUUUGUUAUGACUACGUUCUCCUGGUGUACUGACCAUUUAAUCAUUAUAUACUGUCCUUCCUUUUCAUUUGUGGUGGAUUUUGCUUUAAAGCCUAUUUUGUCAGAGAUUAAUAUUGCCUCUCCUGCUCUUUUUUUGAUUGUUGUUUGCUUGAUAUAUUUUUUUCCAUCCUUUGAGUUUCAGUUUGUUUCUGUCUUUAAGUCUAAGGUGUGUCUCCUUUAGUCAGCGUAUAGACAGAUUGUGUUUUUUCAAUCCAUUCUGCCACUCUCUGUCCCUUUACUGGUGUAUUUAGUCCAUUUAUGUUCAGUGUAAUUAUUGGUAUCUAUGAGUUUUUGAGUUUAGUGUUGUGAUUUUGGUUACUUUUUGUGUGUGUGUUUUUGUCAUUUUCUUUCUUCCACUUUAUUUUCUGUGACAAGUCAUUUUUCUUUAUGUAUUUUCUUUUCAACUUUUUCAUUGUUGAUUUUUUAUUUUCUGAGUCUUUAUGUUUUUCUUUUUUUUAUUUUGAUGUGUAUGAUGGUGUUUCCUUUGAGGUUAUCUUAAUAUUUACCUCUAUUUUUCUAAGUUUAAACCAAUCUUUUAUUUCUUGAUGUUGCCUUGACUUCUUCUCCAUAUGAAAGUUCUAUGACUAUAUUAUUUAGUCCCUGUUUUCAUGUCAUCAUCUUUUACAUAUUGUUCUCUGUUUUCCUAUUUUCAGUGUUUUAGCUUUGAUUUAUUUUUGUGAGUUCCCUGUCUGGGUUGAUGUCUGGUUGUUCUGUUAUGUGUUCUAGUCUUGGGUUGUAAUUUGAUGUUAUUGAUUUUCUAACCGGAGGGCUCCCUUUAGCAUUUCUUGUAAUUUUGGCUUGGGUUUUACAAAUUCCCUAAACUUCUGUUUACCUGGGAAUGCCCUAAUUUUGCCAUCAUAUUCGAGAGACACUUUUGCUGGAUAUAUAGUUCUUGGUUGGCAAUUUUUUUUUCCUUCCAGGGUUUUUAUAUUUUAUCCCAUUGCCUUCUUGCCAGCGUGGUUUCUGUUAAGUGUUGAGAGUUUGGUCUUAUUGACUCUCCUUUGUAGGUGACUUUUCAUUUAUCCCUAGUGCUCUUAAAAUUCUCUCUUUAUCUUUGGUUUUGGCAAGUUUGAUUAUAAUAUGUCUUGGUAACAUUCUUUUGAGGUGUACCCUGUGUGGGGUUUGAUGAGCUUCUUUUAUAGGUAUCUUCUCAUCUUUCAUGACAUUAGGGAAAUUUUCUGCCAACAAAUCUCCAACAAUUCUCUCUGUAUUUUCUGUUAUCCCCACCUGUUCUUAUACUCCAGUCACUUGUAGGUUAUUCCUCUUGAUAGAGUCCCACAUAAUUCUUAGGGUUUCUUAAUUGUUUAAAAUUCUUUUAUGUGUUUUUUUUCUCAAAUAAAUUGGUGUCAGGUGCUUUAUCUUCAGUCUCACUAAUUCUGACUUCCAUUGCCUCGAUUCUCCAUCUAUGACUUUCUAUUGAGUUGUCUAAUUGUGAAAUUUUAUUUUUGGUCUUUUGGAUUUCUGUUUGUUGUCUAUGGCUUCUUGCAACCUGUUAAAUUUGUUAUUACGCUCUUGUAUAACUUUCUUUUGUUCCUCUGUUGAUUUGUCUGUGUGUUCCUUGGCUUGUUCUGUGUUUUGCCUGCUCUCCUUCCUGAUUUCUUGAAGAGCUCUGUAUGUCAAUCUUUUGAAUUCUGCCUCUGGUAAUUCAAAGAAAUUAUUUUCCUCCUGGUUCUUUGUUUUGGUCACUUGCUGAAGCCAUCAUUGUCUGCCUCUUCAUGUUAUUGAUAUUCAUUGGUGCCCCAAGCCAUCAAUAUGUUAUCAUAUUAUUUAUUUUACAUUUGCUUACUGUGUCCUAGCUUCUUGUUUUGUUUUGAUAUGUCCAAAUAGGCUGGUUGUGUGAGCUACUUUGAUUACUGGUGUCUUUGAAGUUCUCACAUCCUGUCAUCAGGUAGUUAAAGCUGUUACUAAGUAUGUGAGCCCAGGAGUCUGUUAAUUUUUCUUGUGUGGAUUCAGCUCAGGUGUCCAGGUCAUUGGUCAUCGAGCAUGUGGUGCAGGCUCUCACCUGCAGUCCUAGAUUGGCAGGGGUGAUUGGAGUAGGCACAGGUAUGCGGCUGCAGUAGGGAGCCAUGUGUCAAGCAAUGCAGAUGGCUGACGGUUGCCCCUCAGUAUCUGGGUGUGAGGCGUGUCCCUGUUCCCUAGAGUACAUGGGUGGGUGAGUUUUGCAGCUGGAUUUGGACACCCAAUGCUGUUGGCUGUAACGACUGGGAAGUACCAGUUAUUCUCACACCCCUGUCGUGAAUGACUAGGUGGAGUGGAUGGAGCCACCAUUUCUCAGGUCUUGGAUGUGCACGGGUGAGGACCCUGCUUAACGGGCAGGGCAGUGUCAAAUGUGAUGGAUCUGCUGUUGAAAUGGGCACACACAGGUCUAUGUGGGGGUGAAAGGGAUUCAAAGUUUGUGGACCCAUUAUGCCUGUGCCUAAGCAAAGGGACUGUGCCUGCCUUGAGUUCCUGGCUUAGGGGAGUUGGCAGAUUAUUUUUUCCUGUUUGUUAAUUUGUUCCCUCUCCAAAGCCAGGAGAGUGGCUCGGGCUGCAAGAUGAGUCCUACUUCCCGCCAAGAGGGUACAGCAAUCACUGAAGCUGGAGCAGAACCUGGAGAAGUGCUGGGUGGGAGCAGGUAAAUGGGAGACAGGUACUUCUCAGAGAGGGGAAGGUUUUUUUUUGUAUUCCUUGCAGUAUGUUAGAGGCUUGUACUUAACUUUUGCUGAUUCAGCAUCACUUCUCCCUGGUUCUGGAGGCUUGAGCAGACUCUCUACUGUUUGGUUUUUCCUGAUGUGGAAAACUUGUCCCUAGCACUACUGCUUGCCUCAGCCUGCACACACCAGCUGAUAUAGCCAUGAGGCUGCUGGCUAGGUCAAGUCUGGCAAAUCCACACUGCUUCUGAACUGCCUCUCCCUCCCCCUUCCACUCAAUUCGACUCCUCAUCUUUGUCUUUGAUGUUCAAGGCUCCUAGAUUGUCGUAUAUAAUUGAUUCAUUUGUUUUUUCAGGUCUUUGUUGUAAGAAGGACCACAGGAAUUGUCUGACUACUCUGCCAUCUUGGCCCCACCUCUCCAGACAUGUCUUUUCUUAAUGACUUCUUCAAACCAAAUUGAUUUGAACUUAGACAAGUUGGUGUUUUGUUUCCUCUAGGGAUCUCUUGGACCAAGCUUAUGGCUCAACCCACAGUUUUUCCACAAUUCAGAGGCUCCUCAGAAAUAUGGCCUGGCGAUCUGCUUCUGAAAGAUCACAGUCUUGGAAACCCUAUGGAGCAGUGCUGCUCUGCACACAUGGAAUUGCUGUGAUUGGAAUCGACUUGUCAGCAACUAACAACAACAACAACAAACUGGAAGAAUGGAUAAAACGAAUCAAAGGAUUGCCAGAGAAACAAAUGAAGUUUGAGAUGAGUUUGAAGACUAGGUAAUGGGCCCAGGACAUUUCCAUUUUGCUUUGGAAACAAGUCAAGCAAUUGACAUUACAGAGCCCAGGCCAAAGGUGCGUGCUUUUGCCUGCUGAAUUGUGGCUCGUUUCCUCAUGUCUUUUUAUCAUGUUAACAGACAACUUGGGAGCUGUCUUUCUAGAAAGAUCAGAAGCUGUGCGUCUGGAUGUUCCACCUGCUGCUAUUCCUCUGGGAUGUGAUUAUUAGAGAUAAAAAUGCCUUCCUUGAGCUUUAAUGUUCAAAUGAGGAAGCUACAUAUCAGUAGAAGCUCCAAAAGGGGAUGUGUUCACAGGAAAAGUAGUGGGAAAUAGUCCAGGGGCAAAGACUCUUCACUCCUGUGACUAUGGUACCUGACCCACAACCUGCAGAGUGGCAACCCCAUGAACACACUUGCCAUGGGUUUCAGCCCCUUCUCGCUUUCUCACCCAUAGACAAGGAGAUGUUCAGAUGGCUCAGCACUUUCCCCUCCAAUUUUCAGUCACUAACAACUAUUCUAAGGAUGGCGCAGGACCGGGCAGUGUUUCGUUCCGUUGUGCAUAGGGUCGCUAUGAGUUGGAACCAACUCAAUGGCACCUAACAACAACAACUAGCAACCUUUGAGAGGGGAAUGUGCCUGGUUCCAACAAUAGCCUACUCCCAGAUUCUGUGUAAGCAAAACAUCAGCCUGUGGUGGGUGAGGGAGCCUGUGGUCCUGCUACAGCGUGGUCUUUCUGUCCUUCGUCCCUCUGUGCUAUAGAGGUAGGGAGAACACACAGAGUGCCACGCAACUGAGGCACAAAUGCCUCAUGUUGUUGUUAGGUGCCGUCAAGUCAGUUCUGAUUCACAGUGACCCUAUGUACAACAGAACGAAACACUGCCCGGUCCUGCACCAUCCUCACAAUUGUUGUUACGCUUGAGCCCAUUGUUGCAGCCACUGUGUCAAUCCACCUCAUUGAGGGUCUUCUUCUCUUUUGCUGACCCUCUACUGAGCAUGAUGUCCUUUUCCAGGGACUGGUCCCUCCUGAUGACAUGUCCAAGGUAUGUGAGACAAAGUAUUGAAGUCCUUCCUCACUUCUAAUGAACACUCUCGAUGUACUUCUUUCAAAACAGAUUUGUUCAUUCUUUUGGCAGUCCAUGUGUAUAUUCAAUAUUCUUCACCAACACCACAAUUUAAAGACAUCAAUUCUUCCUGGAUCUUCCUUAUUCAUCACUGAGCUUUUGCAUGCAUACAAGAUGAUUGAAAACACCAUGGUUUGGGUCAGGCCCACUUUAGUCUUCAAGAUGACAUCUUUGUUUUUCAACACUUUAAACAGCUCUUUUGCAGCAGAUUUUCCCAGUGCAAUGUGUCUUUUGAUUUCUUGACUUCUGCUUCCAUGGGUGUUGAUUGUGGAUCCAAGUAAAAUGAAAUCCUUAACAACUUCAAUCUUUUCUCCAUUUAUCAUGAUGUUGCUUAUUGGUCCAGUUGUGAGGAUUUUUGUUUUCUUUAUGUUGAGGUAUAAUCCAUACUGAAGGCUGUAGUCUUCGAUCUUCAUCAGUAAGUGCUUCAAGUCCUCUUCACUUUCAGCAAGCAAGGUUGUGUCAUCUGCAUAACACAGUUUGUUAAUGAAUCUUCCUCCAGUCCUGAUGCCCCGUUCUUCUUCAUAUAGUCCAGCUUCUUGGAUUAUUUGCUCAGCAUACAGAUUGAAUAGGUAUGGUGAAAGGAUACAACCCUGACACACACCUUUCUUGACUUAAACCAUGCGGUAUUCUCUUGUUCUCUUUGAACAACUGCCUCCUGAUCUAUGUACAGGUUCCUCAAAAGCACAAUUAAAUGUUCUGGAAUUCCCAUGCUUUGCAAUGUUAUCCACAAUUUGUUAUGAUCCACACAGUUGAAUGCCUUUACAUAGUCAGUAAAACACAGGUAAACAUCCUUCUGGUAUUCUCUGCUUUCAGCCAGGAUCCCUCUGACAUCAGCAAUGAUGUCCCUGGUUCCACGUCGUCUUUUGAAUCUGGCCUGAAUCUCUGCUUGUUUUCUGUUGAUACCCUGCUGCAGAUGCUUUGGAAUGAUCUUCAGCAAAAUUUUGUUUACGUGUGACAUUAAUGACACUGUUCCAUAAUUUUCACAUUUGGUUGGAUCACCUUUCUUCGGAAUAGACAUAAAUAUGGGUCUCUUCCAGUCAGUUGGCCAGGUAGCUGUCUUCCAAAUUUUUUGCAUAGAAGAGUGAGCACUUCCAUUGCUGCAUCCGUUUGUUGAAACAUCCCAAUUAGUAUUCUGUCAAUUUCUGAAGCCUUGUUUUUCCCCAGUGCCUUCAGUGCAGCUUGGGCUUCUUCCUGCAGUACCAUUGGUUCCUGAUCAUAUGCUGCCUCUUGAAAUGGUCAAAUGCCGACCAGUUCUUUUUGGUAUAGUGUCUUCCUUCCACCUUUUUUUGAUGCUUCCUGCAUUGUUUAAUAUUUUCCCCAUAGAAUCCUUCACUAUUACAACUCAAGACUUGAAUUUUUUCUUUAGUUCUCUCAGCUUGAGAAAUGCCAAGCAUGUUCUUCCCUUUUGGUUUUCUAUCUCCAGGUCUUUGCACAUGCCAUUAUAACACUUUACUUUGUCUUCUCAAGCUGCCUUUUGAAAUCUUCUGUUCAGCUCUUUUACUUCAUCAUUUCUUCCUUUUGCUUUAGCUACUCAACGUUCAAGAGCAAGUUUCAGAGUCUCUUUGGACAUCCAUUUUGGUCUUUUCUUUCUGUCCUGUCUUUUUAAUAACCUCUUGCUUUCUUCAUGUAUGAUGCUCCUGAUGUCAUUCCACAACUUUCUGGUCUUCAGUCAUUAGUGUUCAACACAUCAAAUCUAUUCUAUUGAGAUGGUCUGUAAAUUCAGACGGGUUGUACUUUGGCUCUCAUAGACUUGUUCUAAUUUUCUUCAGUUUCAACUUGAACUUGCAUGUGAGCAAUUGAUGGUCUGUCCCGCAAUUGGCCCCGGCCUUGUUUUGACUGAUGAUAUUGAGCGUUUCUAUCAUCUCUUUCCACAGAUUUGAUUUGAUUUGAUUUGAUUCCUGUGUGUUCUGUCUGGCAAGAUCCACACGUAUAGUUGCGGUUUAUGUUGGUGAAAAAGAUAUUUGCAAUAAAGAAGUCAUUGGUCUUGCAAAAUUCAAUCACAGGAUCUCUGGCAUUGUUUCUAUCACCAAGGCCAUAUUUUCCAACUGCUGAUCCUUCUUCUUUGUUUCCAAUUUUCGCAUCCUAAUCACCAGUAAUUAUCAACGCAUCCCGAUUACAUGUUUGGUCAAUUUCAGACUGCAGAAGUUGAUAAAAAUCUUCAAUUUAUCUUUGGCCUUAAUGGUUAGUGCAUAAAUUUGAAUAAUAGUUGUACUAACUGGUAUUCCUUGUAGGUGUAUGGAUAUUAUCCUAUCACUGACAGCAUUGUACUUCAGGAUUGAUCUUGCAAUGUUCUUUUUGACGAUGAAUGCAAUGCCAUUCCUCUUCAUUCUGUCAUUCCUAGCAGAGUAGACUAUAUGAUUGUCCAAUUCAAAAUGGCCAAUACCAGUCCAUUUCAGCUCACUAAUGCCUAGAAUAUCAAUGCAUUCCAUUUCACUUUUGACAAUUUCCAAUUUUCCUAGAUUCAUACUUCAUACAUUCCAGGUUCCAAUUAUUGAUGGGUGUUUGCAGCUGUUUCUUCUCAUUUUGAGUCAUGCCACAUCAGCAAAUGAAGGUCUGGAAAGCUUGACUCCAUCCAUGUCAUUAAGGUUGACUCUACUUUGAGGAGAAACCAAAUACAAGAGUGUAACCAGCACCCAGAUCAAGGAGCAGAAAAUUCCCAGUUCCAAGAAGCUCCCCCUUGUGUCCUAUUUCAGACACUUCCUCCACCAAGGACAACCACUAUCACAGCUUCUCACCCCAGAGGGUAGUUUUGCCUGCCUUUGAACUCUUCUGUGAGUUUGUUGUACUGUCAUGGCAUAUGUGCUGCUGUGAUGCUAGAAGCUAAGCUACUGGUAUUUCAAAUACCAGCAGAGUCAUCCAUGGUGGAUGGGCUUUAGCAGAGUUUCCAGACUAAGACAGGCUAGGAAGAACGGCUUGGCUAUUUACUGCUAAAAAUUAUCCAAUGAAAACCUUAUGGAUCACAACAAAACAUUAUCCAACUUGCUUCCUUUGGACACAUCAUCAAGAGAAAUGAGUUGGAAGAGAAGGACAUCACGUUUACUGAAGUGAGGGAGACCCUCGGUGCAAAAGACUGGCACAAUAGUUGUAACAAUGGACUCGAACAUGCUGGUGGUUGUGAGGAUGUCACAGGACUGGGCAGCAUUUUGUUCUAUUGUACAGAAUGGACUUGACAACUGUUAACACCACCACCAACAAUCCUUAUGUAUAUGUAUCCUUUAAGUUUGGCUUCUUUCAUUCAGCAUUGUGUUUGUGAAAUCUACCCAUGUAGUUGUAAUUCAUUCAUUCUAAUGGCUGCUCAGUACGUCACUGUGUGGGCACACCCUAGCUGGUUAAUUUGUUCUGUUCAUGGGCAUCUGGAUGGAUUUCAUCUUGGUGCUACUAUGAAUGAGGUUGCUAUGAACAUUCCAGCUCAUGUCUUUUGUUCAAAACAUAUAUGAAUCUCUGUUGGGUAUCUACCUAGGUGUAAAAUUGCUGGGUUUGCAUGCUUGGUUUUAGUAAAGACUGCCAGUUUCCCAAAGUGGUUUUAGAAAUCGGCACCAGCAGCGUAGGGUUCUGGCUGCUCCAAGUCCUCACCAAUACCUAAGAGUUUCCAAGUUUUAUACUUUUGGCUUUGCAGCAGUACGCUCUCAAUGAAUAAGGGAAGACUAGGCCUGGGGUAAGAGUAAUUUCCUUUAGUUUGGUUAAUGUCCUGGCGAUGUACCCCACCAUCCGUACGCCCCGCCUUGCUCUUAAUCCAGGAAGUGCUAUUGAUAUGUAACAGUAAUUAUUCAUAAGUUCGUGCCAUUCCUGCCUCCCUGAACAACAGAGACAGUCCCGGGAAAUUCUUCUAGAGGCGAAUUCUUGCAGACAAUGGAGAGACUGGCCAAUGGCUACUCUUCUGCAAGGGUGACACUGCCUCUCCCUUUCCCCAUGCCUCCCUCCUGUAAGCCCACCCCAGACGGCUCCACGAUUAGGCAGAAUGUAUGUCUACUUCCUAAUGACUUAGCAUCCCCACUGCCUACACAUAGCCAACAGCCCCAGCCUGCUCUUCCGGUGUGCACAUUGCCCUGGCUGGCUUGCCAAGAGGGAGCUCAGAGAAGCUCCCACAUAAUCAUUUCCAAACAUUAAAAUGGCCCCAUUGUCAUUACAGCAGGGAGAUUGAAUUUGCCUCAUCAAAGCAGAGUGUGACAGGUGACUCAAUAGGACAGUGCCAAACGCAGAAGCAAGAAGAUUAGCAGGGCACUGAUAUCAUUAUUUCCGCCUAUCACAGAUUCGGCAGGGAGGCAAUUGUAAUUUCUGGGCUUAUUAGUCUACAUUCGGAGGGAGAACCAAGUGAUAAACCUCACGGUGACAGCUAGGCAUUUGUGCAGCAAGUGCUGUCACGGUGACACUCAGAAAAUGCCACUGUGGCUACGUCCUCAUAAUCUUCACUAAUCGAGGGUGAAGCCCAGCACAAAGGCACCCUUAUCAGUGAUCAGGCCGCUAAUAACAUUUGCAUUUUUAAGUUAAAUAUAGUAAGUAAAGGAGUAAGUAGUUCUUUGCAGUUGGGACAAUUAAUUUCACACUGGAAUUAGAAAGCAAAGCCAAAAUUUCCAGCGGCUUCUAUCUCUUCAAUCACUUGCAAGAAUCCUCCAAGGAAGGAGAUGAGUGAACAGUGUUAAGAACAACGUUCGCAGCAGUAUCUAUUGCCUGUGAAACCGUUGAUAGGAGAACAUCACUAAACUCCUAAAUUAGAUCUUUGCCACCCCUCCAGCCCACAGACAAUAAGGCUUAAGGACUUAAAACUAACAAACGCAGUGGAAAAUAUCUUCACAUGCUUAACGUACUCCUACCUUAACACUCCCUAUUUUGCCAGCCAAAGGUGUUUUAAAUCAUGUAAGAAGGCUCCAAAGAGCUGGGGAGGGUGAGACAGUGUACCUGUUGUGCUCAGAGAUGGCAUGCCACGUGUUCUGAGGGCCACUUCCAGAAAAGCCUGCCUAGCCCAGCUGAUUUACAUAAAUCUCCCCUCAUUAAAAACAGCUGUAUCAAAGAAGCCCUGGUGGCACAGUGGUUAAGUGCUUGGCUGUUAACCAAAAGGUCAGUGGUUCGAACCCACCCACCAGCCACUCCUCGAAAGAAAACUGUGACAGUGUGCUUCCAUAAAGAUUACAGCCUUGGAAACCCUACGGGCAGUUCUACUCUGUCCUAUAGGGUCGCUUCACGGCAAUAGGUUUGGUUUUUGAUAUUUAUACCGACAUUUUCAGGGCAGUGGCAAAAAAUAUAUAUAUGUUUCUUUUUGGAGAUAAUACUAGAACUAUAGUUUCAUAGCCAAUUCUUGUGGAAAUCAUCUAGGUUGAGGAAAAAAAUUAAAAUUCUAUUUAUUUAUUUUUGUUGUUGGAAAUAAUACGACUGGUGGCAAGCUGUUACAUUUUCACAUGUAAAGAACAGAUCCAUUAGGAAGACUAUGUAAUUCAAUUCUUGAGUGAGUGCCACCGAAUUCAGUUUGUUUCAGGUCAAAGAAUAUAAGGUAAAGUCAUCGACGUAAAGGUCAGAGGCUGCACAGCAAGCAUACACACACGGAUACUACAGGGGUAAUUAGCACACAUUUCCACUGUGUUACUGUGCUGGCGUAUAGUAGAGAAGAUCUUAAAGGGGUCAGGUGGUAAUACACUUUCAAGUCUGUUCUUCCUCCCCACUCCCUUGUAAAAAUGGCCCUAAACUGGUUCCACCUCUCUCAACGAGCACUGGAGAUUGGUUCAGGAAACCACACAUCUCAGCUAGCAGGGCUGAAAAGACAACGCUGCUCCUGUGUGGUUUUGGAAAUUCCCACCCCAGGGAAUGGUGUCUGGCUCCACAUCCGAGAGCUGGGACACUGUUCUGGUUCCUUAGGUGCCACAUUUGUUAACGUUAAGAAACCUACACCCCAAGUUCACCAAAGGAGAAGGGGGAGAAGGCAGCAUGCUGUGGUCAGUGGAGUCACUAGGGGGCUGUGGACUACAUGAGGUGACACUGUCAGAGGGGUGACAUCAAAAUGACUAUCUACAGAACUUUUGUACAGUGUUUCAGUAGAAAUUUAUUAUUUUUUAUAAAAAUAUCACUGUAGUUAGUUUGAACAACUAAUUUCUUUCUUUUUUUUUAUGAGCCCUGCUUACAUGUAUCAAUAACUACAAGGCUAAAACUCUACGUUAAUUUACUCUUUGAACCUUCCAAUGCACUCCAGUCAGAGCUGACAUUAUUAUCCGAUUACAGUAACGCUUCGAGUCACGUGGUUUCAUCUGCAUGCAAGCAUGCGCUGUUGUUUUUGUUGCUGCUGGUUAUGUUAUAGUUGAUGAUUUUGUCAGUUUUUCUGGGAUUUUAGCUAUAAUAUUGUGGUAAUUAACAGGGUGGAGUGACACCAUGAGUUACUGCACUGGGUGUCACCAACCCUAUGAUCCCAUUGGGUGAGGUUCCCACCUUUAUUUAGUGGAGGAGGAAGGAGAAAUGGGAGUGAGGAAGAUUUGCAUUCCCUAACUUCCUGGCUAUUUAAAAAACAUAUUUUUUAAAUUGUAAAAAUAUAUAUAACACACCAUUUGCCAGUUCAACUUAUUUCGUGGGUACAAUAUAGUGACACCAAUUCAAUUAAUCUUGUUGUGCAACCAUCACCAGUAUCUGCUUCCAUCACCAUAAAAAGACACUGAAAGCCUCUUGAACGAUGAGCCCCUCGUCCCCUCUACCUCCUGCCCCUGGUAACCACUGUUAAACUCUGACCUCUAUACAUUUGCCUAUUCUAGAUAUUUCACGUAAGUGGAAUCAUACAAUAUUUGUCCUGUGAUUGGCUCACUUCACUCAGUGUGUUUUCAAAGUUCGUCCAUGUCAUAGAACAUAUCUGAACUUCAUUUCUCUUAAUGGCUAAGUGAUAUUCCAUUGUAAGUGUAUACCACAUUUUGUUUAUUCAUUCAUCUGUGGAUGGAUAUUUAGGUUGUUUCCAUAUUUUGGCUAUUGUGAAAAGUGCUUCAGUGAAGAUUAGUAUGCCUGGCUAUUUUUUAAAACUUUUCUGGGACUAGAAUCUGCCAGAAUGACCUAUCUACAUCAUGGCAGGAAUGCAUGCUUCCCACCCAAGCCCAGCUCAUGGCAAGUGCCACUGGAGGGGGAGGCACACACAUAAGGAGCCUCAGGACUGAUUUUGCCCAAUUUGCUUCUGAGGGACAUUGUGGUUUAGGAAGCAAAUGUGGUCAGGGCCUCACAAGUGUCUCCUGCACAGACAUACCCUGCAUUGCUGGAAAGUCUAAUUUGCUGGGUCUCACACUGUGGAAAAGUGACCUCCUGUGAAAUCUGGCAUUAACCUUCCCAAAGGCAGAGACCCAUUUAUCCAAGAAGAUGGGCAGCAGAUGCUGUGGGGUCACACACAUCCCCGUAGGCCUCCCCACAGUCACCUGAUGAUGCACCUGCUCACAGGAGAUUGAGAGGGGUCCUCCAUGGGCAGAUGAUUCCCCAGAAUCCUCCAAGAUGGGAUGAUUGUGAGGUGUGAGGUCUUCACUGCUCCUAACGCUCCCCAGCAGGAUUAAGCUCUGGGUACCCCAGGGUAGCCACCUCGACAACACGUCUGCAUUGGCUGGCUUCUCUCAAGGUCUCACUUCUCUCUUCCCUGACAAGUAUUUCCUAGGAUCACCUCCCAAAGAAACUACUUGCAAUCUCCUUGUCUCAGGGUCUACUUCUGGGGGAAGCAAACUAAAACAAGGGGUAACCAGGAGGUCAAGGAAAAGGCAUAGCAGGGAUAUGGCUGAUCCCAACUGAGUAUCUUUUUAAUGGUCCCUUCCUGCUCCAUCCAUUCAUCACUGCUGAGAGCAGUGAAUUUAAGGGGUAAUGAAAGGCCCUUCCACUCAGAAUAUUCCCUUUCUUGGUUUCCCUCAUUGUCUCAAGUUCUUACCCCAGAUGGCCUCUUUUGGAAUAAAGUAUUAUACAGAAAGGCAGCUAUUAACAUAACUUAUUCACUGGGAAGGGAAACACAAGAAACUCUUACCACCACCACCACAAUACCAAAGGUUGGAGGUUCAUAUCCUCCCAGAGGUGCCUUGGAAGAAAGACCUGGUAAUCUACUUCUGAAAAAUCAGCCAUUGAAAGACCUAAGGAGCACCGUUCUACUCUGACACA